rnacentral:lncRNA from 1 species
UUGACAAAAGGCUGCUUUGCCUUCUUCUCCGGCUAGUGAUGUUAAGCUGCACCCUACCUAACUGCAAAAUGAGGAAGCAUUUUUGCUGAUGUCAACAUUUUCAAGAAGAAAGUAGUAUCUGCCCCUCACAUACAGGCGAUACCUUGCUGUUUAUGGUAACUCGGAAGGAGGAUGCUGUAGUCCUAAUUGUGUCUUGUUAGUUGAAGAGAUGGGAUAUUAGCUCAUCCGCCUACCGAAAGAAUACCUUUGCUGCCACAGUAGAAACCAAUUGGGUCCUAUAUCGUGAAGCUGGGAGAAGCUGUAGUGGUGCCAUCAACACUCAUUGAUACCGGGGCCUUCAACCUUGUAUUAUUUGAAGUAAAGUUAAAAGGGUUUGUGAAACUUUUAUCACUGUUUUUAUUCUAACCAUUCUUUCCCCCUCUUUCAGAGUCUGCUGAUUUUCUUUGUUUAGCAAGUAUCGGUUCCUUUGGACAGUGAAGGCUCCAUGUUAGACAUUGUUUCGACAGUUUCACUGGGAAUCAAAGAUUUGUCGGUCUUAAUUUGUCUGGUUAUCGGGUGUUUAUUGUUUUAGGUAAAUGUUUUUGGUGUAGGCAAACUGAUCAUCUCUAUAUUGUACGAGGUUCGGUCAUAAUUUCGAAGCAUAUGGACUAGUUUUGGUGAAUUAGGUGCUUCCUUCAUUUAGUUUGUGUUGACAUUAGUAUAUAGCCCUUGGGGGCUAGGAAUUUGUAACAAACUUUUCUCUUGUUCUUAAACCACUAUUUUAUCAAGUAUAUGGUGAACUUUCCUCUUUUAGUUCAUGUCUUCCAAACCCUUGUGAAUUAGUUUGUAAAAUUGGGUUUAGUGGCCCUUUUACAAACCCACCAACCAAAAAUAGUCGUCUUGAAAUGCCCUCUUUGACCAAAAUACCCUUGUUACCGACGCAAUAUUGGUAGAUUAUUGGCUUAAUCUUGAGGUAUUUUCGUCAUAGAGGACAAGUAGAGAUUGCAUUCUGCGAGGAGGGUUAAUUUUGGUUGGUGUAUUUGGAAAAUCAUUAUUUUUAUCUACUGUGCAUAAUUUUCACAAAAUUACUGUGGUGAAGUCUUUCCUAUGUGGUAUGGUAAUUUUUUUCAAAGUCUCAUCUAUAUGUGAUGUUAAAAUACCUCUAAUAUUAAAAAAAAAAAAUAUUUUAUUUGUCACGUGGCAGACAUUUGGCAGCCACGUGUCAUAUAUGUGGCAGCCACGUCAGCAUUUAACAGAUCCAUGGAUGGAAAAUCUAACGGUUGUAUGAAAUUGAAAUAAAAUAGUACUUGAGGUAUGAAAGUGAAAUGUUUUAAAGAUGUUGUAUAAGAUUGCAAUAGACCUCAAACCUGAGAGGUUACUAUGUAAUUUACCCUAUAUUUUCCCUAUGAAAGUAUAUGACUCAACAAAGACCUCUCUUACAAGUGAAGACAAAUACCAUUAUACAAAGAUAAAUACCAUUAAACCAUAAUACAAACUGCCAAACCAUUUCAAUUAUAAAAUUUCAACAAUAAAAAGUGCUACAUUAAAAAUAAAUAAAUAAAAUAUCAAUAGUGAGGACGCUGAAUUAUUUAGAGACAAGGAUUGUCUGCCCUUGCUCUCCCGUGCCCUCCUGUUUAUAUGGUUACGGUUAAGUCACGUUAAUAUUUUAUAUUAUUAUUCAAUUUUGUUUUAUUAUAUUUAUAAAAAAAAUAAUAUAAAAUAUUAACGUGACUUAAUCGUGAUUACAUAAAACAGGAGAGCACGGAACGAAAGAACACCGGAAGUGGAGGGGUCCAUUAUUUAGACAUCCACGAAGUCAACUAAAAAGCUACGUCCUGCUGCGUCGUUUUCUUCCUCUCUAUUUCAGCAACAAACGAAGAAAAAAAAAAAAAAAAAAAAAACAAGCGAUCAGAGAGAGAGAAUCAGAGCGAGAGAGUGGAAAUUCCAUCGCUGUGAGGACCGUACGCGUAAGGCUGGGAAUGGAUGAAGAAGAAGGAAGAGACUGCAUUGAUUUUUCGAUGAAGAUUGGUCCGAAUCCGUGAGAUUCACGCAAAUCCAAUCCCUCAGAUCGAUUUGCUCUGCAUUGAUUUCUCUGCAUUGAUUUCUCUUCUCUCUUUCUCUGCUCGUUUCCUAGUCGAUUUUUUUGGAAUAAACAAAUGAACGGCGGCGGAGAGGGCCUCGCGGCUCUGGCGACGUCAGGGGUGGCCGUAUCGCCGCUCGAGUGGAAGUUUGCGAAGGUCUUCGGAGAAAGGACCGCCGGCGAAGAAGUUCAGGAAGGUAAGAGUAAUACUCUUCCCCUGAUUUUCGUUUCGUUUCGUAUUGUUAGGGAUUCACUAUUGCUUUCGUUCUCAUUACGUUUAAUACUAUUAAUUUAAUGUUAAAUACAUUUAGCGGAUGAUUUGUUGCAGAAAUUGUGUAUUGAAUGAUGAGAAUCGUGAGGCGCGAAAGAAAUUUAAUCGAAAAAGUUUGGUCUUUUGAUGACCGAAGCAUUUGAGCUGAAUACUUAAGUUAUUGGCUGGUGGUUUUGUGGCUAUUAUUGAUGAAGCUAUACAUUUGGAGGUUGUCUAUUUGUGUAGCUGUUAGUUUUUAUUUUUCUUUUAAUUUAAUUCACUACAUUUUGGGCUCGUUGGAAGUGCUUUUAAAAUGAUUGAAAGCACUUUUAGAGAAAAUGUGUUUGGUUCCAAAAGCACUUGAAGUGCUUUCUGUAAGAAGCACCAGUUAUGUGCAUUGUUCAGAAAGCUAAGUGUUUUUCAAUGAUUUACUUCCAUUUUCACUCAGGGUUGGUUCUAAAAACAUUUUCACCAAAAACUCUUUCAGCCAUUUUAAAAGCACUUUCAAACGAGUUAUGAUGUUGAUUAGUAUAGGGAUUCAUUUUCGAACAUAUUGUUGCGAUCGAUACGUGUAGAGCUAUAUUUUUAAACUUAAAAGGCCCUAGAUUUGAGAAAUAAGUGAACUUGUUAAUCAAGUGUGAAGAACGCGUCAUUUGCGAUCAAUAGCUAUACUUAUAUACCCGCUUUUGAAUUUCUGAAAAAGAUACUUUAUAGAGUGUUUGAGGGCAUUGAAGUGCUUUGGUGCAGAAUUACUUAGGUUUGCUUACUUGCUGGUUGUUUUUGCAGUUGAUAUAAUAUCCGCUAUUGAAUUUGAUAGAACGGGGGACCACCUUGCCACUGGAGAUUGUGGAGGCCGCGUGGUUUUAUUUGAAAGAACUGAUAUAAAGGAUGUAAGUUAAUACAUUUUUCUUUUGAGGGGUUUGGGGCAUGGAUGUGCAUUUUCCUUGUACAUAAUAUGCCGUUAUAUUUGUUACACUGGUGUGAUUUAGUUGUACUUUGAUGGUAUAAACUUAAAUAAUUAGCAUGGUGGACACCGGAGAGAUCUGGAGAGGAUGGAUUAUUCAAUCAGUGGGCAUCCUGAGUUCCGCUAUAAAACUGAAUUCCAGAGUCAUAAAAUCGAGGUAUGGCUUUCUUUGUGCUUAACGAGGACAAGUAUAAAUAGGCUUAUGGAGAUUUCCUCUUUGCUGGAAUCUGGAUUUGACUAACUUGCAUCCUAACUUGCAUCUUGGUUUUUCCUGAACUCAGUUUGAUUAUCUUAAGAGCUUGGAAAUUGAGGAAAAAAUCAACAAGAUCAGAUGGUGUCAAACAGCUAACGGUGCACUGUUUCUCCUCUCCACUAGUAGCAAAACCAUCAAAUACUGGAAGGUAGCACCAACCUUUUGAACUCGUAUGUGGUUAGAUUAUUAUAUAAAAGAUGAUUUCUCUCGAUAUCACAUCUUCCAGAGUAAUUUUAGCGACAUUAGUUGCAUUGCCCUUUCCAUUUAUAUAUUGUUCGGAACAAAGAUGGCGAUUACUUCAGCCAUUUCAUUUUAUACAUUAUUCUUGGAACAAAGAUGGUGAUUACUUUAGCCAUUUCAUUUUAUACAGUAUUCUUGGGAUGACCACAAAGUUUUGCAACACCUCCAAUUUUUUUCCCUUUCUUAUCAACCUUCUUCUUUUGCAAUUCUCCUUGGUUCGCCGCUCUUUUUUUUCCCUUCCUAGUAGCUUGCCUUAGAUCCUGCAUAGUCUCACUUUCUUCCUCAUCAUCUAAAUCAAUUUGUCCUACGGACUACUCUCUUGUCUCCGUUGGUAGUACUCCAGAUGAAGGUGCCCAGGCAUGUUCACCGGUAGCAACUGUGUUCGAAAACAUCCUAUCUAACUUUUCAUCCAUCUCAAGACUAAUGCCCUUUUUUCGCAAUUUUCCAUAUUCUUUGUUUAUCUACAAGUAAAGAAAGAAUAUGGUUAAUACAUAUUGCAUGAUAUCAUAAUACAUAUUAAAAGAUAAAUACACAAACCUGAAUUUUAUUAUUCCACCACUCCUCAGAUGCAUCAACGGUACCCUUGCUCGAAUUCCACCCUAGGCCAUUGUCUUUACAAACUAGCACUUUCCACAACUUCCACUCUUUUUAAGUGCAUCCCACUUAUUUUUCAGUUGCUUUCUUUCAUAAUCAUGCCCUGUCUUUGCCUUGAAGUUAGCUCUAAUAUUUGCAUAUCCAUCUUUGUCAAAGUGAGUGCCCAGACGAUGUCCAGCCUCAACCUCCUUGAUGCAUACAUCACAAAAUAUAGAUAUAUUGUGGGCAUUCCAUGUAGCUGUAGGAUUUGACAAAGAUGCCCCCUUCUUUGCCAUCGAUACCAACCAGUGAUUUAUAUAUAUUUAUAUUAAAACAAGAACAAAUAAUAUUGUAAUGUAACCAAGCAGAAAACAGGUAGUAAACCUAACAUAAGCAGAAGCAACUCGCAAUCAUAUAUAUGUGUGUGUGUUGGAGGUUUUCAAUGAUAAUCAUGAUUCAGCCAGUCCCUUUGAUAUACCAAAUAAACAUACAAUGCAUCUAGCAUAUGCAUGAAAAAGAAUAUAGAUGCAGGGAAUUCGUAGUUGUUGCUCACGGUCACAAUUGCCAUUGGAUAACCCAAGUGAAAAAACAAACCCACAUUGCAGGAAACAGGUAGUGUGUUUAAGAAACAAACAAACAAAGUACAUAAACAAAAAUUAAAAAUAAAAAAGGGCAGAAAAAGAGGAGGAGAUUUGGGGUCAUGGAUCUCAUGAUAACAAACAGAGCAACACUAUAGUUGCCAAUCAAACCCUAAGAACUGAAAUUGCUUCAUGGAUCUCAUGAUAAUAAUUAGAACCUUAAUUCAAACCCCAAAACUGAAAUUUAGAGAAUUAAUUCAAACCCCAAAACUGAAAAUUAGAACAUUAAUUCAAACACCAAAACUGAAAUUGCUUCAACGAUGGAAGAGAGAGAGAGAGAGAGAGAGAGAGAGAGGGAGAGGGAGAGGGAGAGGGAGAGAGAGAGUUAUGUUUACCUAAUCAAUGAGAUCGAGCUCGUUCGUUGGUUGGCAAAUAAACCCUGCUUCAGAAAACCCCAAAAAAAUCGGUUCAUCAUCCAUGUUAGCUGCUAGAACCAAACCCUGAAUUAAAAUUAAACUACAAAAAUAGAAGCAAACUGGAGAGAGCAGCCAAACACUAACCUUAAAAUUAAAUUAAUUAAUUACAGCAAAUCGAGUACCUGCUACCUGGAAGGCGACGGCGGUGUGGCGCUGAGAACGACGGAGAGAGAGGAAAAUGAGGAGUUGUGCAGCGGCAGGAGGGAAGAGGGGCGUGCGGAGUGUUUUGCGAGAGAGAAGAGGGCGUGCGAAGUGUUUUGAGGAAUCAGGAGAAAGGAGAAAGGAGAAAGGAGGGGGCAGUAUUGGCAAUUUGGAAAAAUUCAUUAACAAAGUACUGUAGCUCCGUGUUUUGUUUAAUAAGCCGCUUCUUGAAGCUGCUUUUUGCAGCUUCCACUUUUUGGCUUUUUUUCAUCUGAAACUUUGAAAUAAAGCUGUUUUGGGAUGUUUACCAAACACCAAAAACUCUCCCAGCUUUUUUUCAUACCAGCUUUAUUAAAAAUCACCUCAACCCCGAACUGGGGCUAAAUCUAUGGAAAAUGGUGCAGUUGCUAGUUCCAUGUCAGCAAUCUCAAAACCGUAUCUUGCAAAUGGAGCAUGUAAAGACAGACCCGUCAGUUCUCCAAGCAAUGACACUUCAUUUCCAUCUCUGCACUUGCCAGUGGUAGUUGUACACUAUUUGAUUUGUUUAUUUUGUGACAGCAUAUGGUUUUGCCUUAUGAUAUUUCGAAAAUUUUCCAGAGUCAAUUGUGCUUUACUUUCUUGGUGAAUGACAACCUAUUAUUUAGCUCUAACACUUGACCAUUUGUGGCAUCCAGGUGACCGGUCAAGAGACGAGCCUUGUGGCUAGAUGUCGAAGACUCUAUGCCAAUGCUCAUGACUAUCAUAUUAAUUCGAUUUCAAAUAACAGGUACAUCUUUUUUUUUUCAAUGGAAUAUGCCUUCACCUUUUCAUCUAUUUUUAAUCUUGUUGUGUAUGUUCAGUGUUUGCCUUGAUGCUUGUGCUCCUAUUUGAAAAUUCUAUUAUUUAAUUACCUUAUCAUGGAGGAGCCAAUUGUGUAGUUGUCGGACUUCCCCCACCCCCAAAAGAAAAAAAAAAACCAGUUUCUGUAGCACACGGUGACACUAAAGAACAAUUUAUGUCACUAGAUGAAAAAGAUUUAUCUUCGAUGUCGAGUCUUGCUAAUAUGCAUUAUGCAGUAUAUUCUUUGGUAUUAUUGCAUGGAUAUAAUCUAACAAGGUCUCCAUCUUCUGGUCACUAAUAAUGUAGCUAUCUUUUGGUUUUGCAGCGGUGGUGAAACUUUUUUAUCAGCUGAUGACCUUCGAAUUAAUCUUUGGAACCUAGAGAUUAGCAAUCAAAGUUUUAAUAUUGUUGACAUGAAGCCGGUAAACAUGGAGGAUCUAACUGGUAGAACCCACAACACUAUGAUGACAAUUGCUUACUUUCCUAGCUUUUAACUAUCAUUUGAAGAGAAAUGGCAGUAGACAUAACCUUGACCCAAUUAUUUGGGCCUGCUACAAGGCUCCUGGUCUUCCAUUCGGUCAUAUUCUGGAUAAUGUUUCAUUAAAUGGCAUGCUAUUAUGUCUUUCUUAGAUUUCAUCUGUUUCUAUUUACUUUGAUCUCCCUUUUCAUUAGGUUUGGAUGGCUGAAAUGUUCUGGCCAUGUAGUAAACUUGAAUUAUGCCUUAUUUAUAUGCUUUGUUUGUCAAACAGCUCCACAUGUGUAAUUAUUUAUCUUUACAUACUUGAAAUUUAUGUGCAGAGGUGAUAACAUCCGCUGAAUUUCACCCUACUCAUUGUAACAUGUUGGCAUACAGUAGCUCAAAAGGCUCAAUUCGUCUUAUAGAUCUGCGGCAGUCAGCUUUAUGUGACACUCAUAGCAAAUUGUGAGUCAUCUUUCAUUCUUCCUUCCUUCCAUUCUUGGACUCAUCAAAGAUGAUUUAGUAUUAUAAUAAAAUAAAUGUAUGAGAAAUCUUUUGACAUUUUUUGCCGUCUUUAAUUUCUUGGUUUGCUUUGAAUCGUAAUUAUGAUUUGUAAUGGUGCAGGUUUGAAGAACAAGAAGCGCCCGGCUCAAGAUCUUUUUUCACUGAAAUAAUAGCAGCAAUUUCAGAUAUUAAGUUUGCUAAGAACGGAAGACAUAUACUAAGUCGGGAUUACAUGACUCUUAAGGUUCAUAUAUUCAUACUCUUAUAAUAAGAUGGUUCAUACUUCCAAUAUUUAGAAACUUCAGUAUCAUUUGUCCUAGAAACAAAGUUGCAAGUAACAAACACUUGAAAACCUUAUUUUCCCUCCCUCCCUCCCUUCCUUCCAGUGGAUUGGUGACACGGGCAAUGCCCUCUAUGGGUGCCACCCCUCAACAUCUCACUGUUUCUGCCGUCCCUCCUUCCCUUCCUUUCAGUGGAUUGGUGACAUGAGUGAUGCCCUCUAUGGGUGCCACCCCUCAAUAUCUCACUGUUUCUGUUGAUUCCUCAGCUAAAAUAUUCCUUCCUUCCAUUGGAUUGGUGACAUGGCCAAUGUCCUCUAUGGGUGCCCUCAAUAUCUCACUGUUUGUGCCAUCCCUCUUUCCCUGCCUUCCUUACAGUGGAUUGGUGACGUGGGCAAUGCCCUCUAUGGGUGCAGCCCCCAAUAUCUCACUGUUUCUGUUGCUUCCUCAGCUAAAAUAUGCUAAUGUUGUUACUGUGAUGUUUAGAGUUAGUACUUGAUAUCAUGAUUUUCAAUUUUGUGCUUGUGGUGAGUUUGGGCAUUGCAACUACUUCUUGUCUUCAGAUUUCUCUGAUUCUUAACCCUGUCCGUUACAAUUUUUGUUCUCACCUUUUCUUUUUGGGGUUUCUCAGUUAUGGGACAUCAACAUGGAUUCUGGCCCAGUUGCCACUUUUCAGAUUCAUGAACAUCUAAGACCAAAGGUAAUAUGUUCCUUCAAAAAGUUUGUUUGAUCACAUGUGAUCUUAAAAGAAGACGAGACCAUUUAAGUAAUACCAUACAAUGCAACUUAUUAAGUUCUUUACCUUUCUCAGCUCUGUGAUUUAUACGAAAAUGAUUCUAUCUUCGAUAAGUUUGAGUGCUGUCUAAGUGGAGAUGGACACCGAGUGGCAACAGGUUCUUACAGGUUAGACUUACACCAUACACAUCCUUUGUUGCUUUUACACUUACACCCUGACCUAAGCAGUGUGGGGCUCAACGUAUGAAGAAACACAUUUCUGUGAUUCCAGCAAUCUGUUUCGAGUGUUUGGUUGUUCUGAAGGGAGCACAGAAGCAACAACAUUGGAGGCCAGCAAAAACCCCCUGAGGUAUCUUUUUUAAAUUCUAUAUAUGCUCGUCAGGCAUGCUAUUGUUAGGGCAUAGUAUCAUUUUGGUCCAAGAAAAACUCUUGUUUAUUUUCUUUUGUUCUCUUGGUCAAAUGUGCUUAUAAUUUUUCUCAUGAACUUCCAGGAGACAAGUUCAAUCUUCGGGCAACCUUCGUCGUGUUAUCAGGCGAGGUAUGUUCUUCCAUCAUAACAUAAAAGGUGCGGAUAACUCUGGAGCUGAUGCAAACGGAAAUCCUUUUGACUUCACAACAAAGUUGCUACAUCUUGCAUGGCACCCUUCUGAGGAUUUAAUCGCCUGUGCUGCUUCAAGCAGCCUAUACAUGUAUUAUGCGUAAAAGUAGUACGGAAAGUUGCUUGUCUUGGCCGGCAAAGCUCUUCUGAUUUCUAUUGACAAAACGUUGCUUGCCUUCUUCUCCGGCUAGUGAUGUUAAGAUUUGUCGGCUUAAUUCGUCUGGUUAUCGGGUGUUUAUUGUUUUAGGUAAAUGUUUUUGGUGUAGGCAAACUGAUCAUCUCUAUAUUGUACGAGGUUCGGUCAUAAUUUCGAAGCAUAUGGACUAGUUUUGGUGAAUUAGGUGCUUCCUUCAUUUAGUUUGUGCUGACAUUAGUAUAUAGCCCUUGGGGGCUAGGAAUUUGUAACAAACUUUUCUCUUGUUCCUAAACCACUAUUUUAUCAAGUAUAUGGUGAACUUUCCUCUUUUUGUUCAUGUCUUCCAAACCCUUGUGAAUUGGUUUGGAAAAUUGGGUUUGGUGGCGCUUUUACAAACCCACCAACCAAAAAUAGUCGUCUCGAAAUGCCCUCUUUGAUGAAAAUACCCUCGUUACCGAUGCAAUAUUGGUAGAUUAUUGACUCAAUCUUAAGGUAUUUUCGUCAGAGGGCAAGUAGAGAUUGCAUUCUACAAGGGGGGCUAAUUUUGGUUGGUGUAUUUGGAAAAGGCUUGUAAGCCCAAUUUCUCAUUAUUUUUUAUCUACUGUGCAUAAUUUUCACAAAAUUACUGUGGUGAAGUCUUUCCUAUGUGGUAUGGUAAUUUUUGUUGUAUCACGUGAGUAGCUCACUGUGAGAAUUCGUCUCGUGCUACUUGUAUUACAUGAGUAGCACGAUUUGUGAGAGAUUUGUUUCGUGUAAUAGAUUCUACUUAUUGUAUUACGUGAGUAGCACGAUCUGUGAGAGAUUUGUAUCAUUGAGCAUGCUUGCUUAAAGAAAAAUUCAAGGGCCAAUUACAUUUAGACACGAGUUGUUUAUGCCCACGUGUGGAGAAAAACUUGUGUGGGGUUUGACUUACUACUGGACUUUGCAUAGUGGCACUACAAUCCACUAAAAAAUCGCCACGUGACAAGUCUUAAAUAUAAUUUUUUUUCCCAUUCUUUUAUAUUUAGGAUUCUCAUAAUUAUAUUUCUCACUAAUUAAUAUACAUCAAUCUAAUGGAUAUAUUUUUUUUGUUUUCUUUCUUUUUUAAAAAAAAUGGGAUAACUGGUGGCAGACCAUGGUUAUCCACUCCAAAUAUUCCCUCCAAUUUAUGUUGCAGGACUCUUUCACUUUCUUCUCUCUCCCACUUCUUUGUCUCUCCGACUAUUUUCUCUCGCUGUUUUUCAUAAAAAAAUUUGUACCCUAAACAAAAUCACUUUCUCCAACUUUUGUCAUGGGAAGCAAUCAAGAAUCUUUAAGUUUUUUCGUUAUUGAUACAAUACUUGAUUUGAUCAAGUGAACUUGACAUGAAUAACCUUUACAUAUAGGCGUAUUAGGGUUAGCCUAAUUUUUUAUUUGUUUUCGUUAACAUGUUUAUCUAAUAUUAGGGCUCAAAUGUUAAUCAAUGUUAUGGUUAAUAUGUUGAUACGAAUUACCCACAUAUUUAUACAAUAAUUUUUUCCGUUCUUUACUAUGAGUAUUUUAUUAAUGUGGUAGUCUUUUUUUAUUUUAUUUUAUUUUCACUUGGUAGGUUGCUGCUAAGACAAUGGAGUUUUAAGAAGAUGUAAAAAUUAAAAUGGUGGUGAAUCCUGACGCUGAAGCCUUUCAAGUACGCAAUGCUUAUGCUAUGAGGAAAGGGUUCAGUCUUCGUAAAGAGCAUAUUCGAAGAGAUAAAACAAAUACUAUUACACAAUGAUAUUGUUUGGGAAGUUAAAGAUGGCAGGCAUGCAGAGGGAGGGAGGGGGGGGGGAUGAACAAAAUAUAAGCCAUUAAAUUGAUGCAUAUUAAUUAGUGAAAAAAAAUAAUUACGUGAAUUUUAAAUAUAAAAGAAUGGGAAAAAAAAUUAUAUUUAAGACUUGCCACGUGAUAAUUUUUUAGUGGAUUGUAGUGUCACUCAGCAAAAUCCAGUAACAUGCCAAACCCCACACAAAAUUUUCUCCCACGAGUGACCGGGUUGAAAUGUGCGUUUACAUUUGUGCUUCAUUAGAUUAUUAUUAUUUUUUUAAUUGUCAUGAUAAGUCACGAUGAGCUUGGACAAAUGAUCUUAUUUAGUAAUUUUUUAAAAUGAUUUAGAAGUACGAUAUAUGGGAAUAUAAUCAUUAAUUAUUUGCAUAUAAAGCCGAUUAUGAUACUCAAUUCAAUAGUUUUAAUGAAAUUGUGAAAUAACUUAUAUAGAACGAGUUUAUUCUUACGUAACAUUCUAAUUUAAUAAUGCAGUCAUUUAGAAUUACAGUCUAGUGGUAUUUUUAUUUAUUAGUAAGUGAGAGGUGAGAGAUGAGAGAUUUUAGGUUUGAAUCUUGUCAAAUACGAAUUUGAACCACAUUAUUGCUUGUCUUUGUGAGAUUUAACCCAUUCGCUCACCCUUAGAGUACAUAAUAUUGUUUAUUCAAAAGAAAAAGGAAUAAUGCAAUGACGUGUAGAGAUAAAAUUACACGCAACAGUAUAUCAUUAGAUCGAGAUGUUAAAAUGUGGCAUAGUUCGUUGUUCACAUUGUAAACACGGAAAUUUCUGAAACAAACGAGACAAGAACACGUGUACAAAAUAAUAUUUUGUAUUAAUGAUUUUGGGGUUACAAUCUCUCUCAAAUUUGAUCAUCUGAUUCGAUCUCCGUAAGAUGUUGAUUUGUGGAUGUGUGAUUGAUCCAAGGGUCAUCGAGGCUUGAUCUUGGAUGAAUGUUUGAAAGUUUCUUCAAGGGCCAUUGGGGUUUGAUCUUGAAGGUCGAGGGAACGGAUCUUCAAGGAGCUUUUGGGCUUGAUCUUGAAGAACAGUUGUGCGGGUUUCUUCAAGGGCUUUUGGGCUUGAUCUUGUGAAAAAUGGGUUAGAGGAUUUGUUAAUGUUGUUGAUCCAAAGGGCCGUUGGGGCUUGAUCUUAGGAUGAAUGGAUGAUGAACGAUGAACACUUUAUUCAAGGGCCGUCGGGACUUGAUCUUGAAUUGGUGAAAGUUCUUCAAGGGCCAUCGGGGCUUGAUCUUGAUGGAGGAUUUGAUGAAGAAUGAAGAGAGCUUUUUUGAUCCUUCGGGAUUUGCUUGGGCGCUUUAGAGUUUUAAAGCUUCAAGGUUUUGGUGUUAUGUGAAUUGGUUAUGAAUUGGUGUCCUAAAAUGAAUGAAAUGGCCUUGUAUUUAUACAAAUUUUCAAGGCCUAAUUUUGAAUAUAAUAUUCAGAUGAAAUAAAUCAUUUCUGCCAGGUGUUGACACGUGUCCUUAUUUGAUGACUUUUUCGAUUUAUUUUGAUUUUUUGUUUAGUCACACUCUACGUGUAAAAUUUAUGUGACAUGUGAGCGUUGAAAUUGUAAUUACUGGUCAACAUUUAUUUCACCAAAAUUUCGAUUUCUACACACAUAUCCCUGACUAGUCAAAUACUCACUCAGACAGUUAUACCACAUUCUUCUGGAUUGUUUCAAACCGUAGUGAAUGCCUUAGCCGAAUUGAGAGCUUGUUCUGGGGUUUGGAAAUAUUUGAAUCAGUCAAUGUAAGUCAUUUGGGAACUUUCAUAUAGAUUACUAUAUCAAGAUCCCCAUAAAGAUACGCGGUUACUACAUCCAUUAGCUGCAUAUCCAUUUUUUGGAAACUACCAAACUGAUAAGGUAACGAAAAGUAAUCACAUCUAUAAUGGGUGAAUAAGUUCCGUCAUAGUCAAUCCCGGGGUGUUGUGAGAAGCCUUGUGCAACAAGACGAGCUUUGUAACGCACAAUUUCGCUUUUCUCAUUACGUUUUCGAAUGAAAACCCACUUGUAGUCAACGGGCUUCAUAUGUGGAGGAGUAGGAGGUACAUGGCCAAACACCUUACGUUUCGUAAGCGAAUCGAGUUUAACUUGGAUUGCUUGUUUCCAGUUUGACAAAUCAGUUCUACGUUGACAUUCAUCAAUGGAACGCGGUUCAAUAUCAUCGCUCAACAUGAUCUCAGUAGUUACUACAAAUGUUAAUGCAUCGUCGACAAUCAUCUCAUUUCUACGCCACACAUCAUCUAAGCUAGCAUAAUAGACUGAAAUCUCACGAUUCUCAGGAGGAUGAUUUGUUUCUUCAAGGUCGCUUCCAUAAUCUAGAAUUUCCUCAUGAGUUGGGUAGAAUGAGUAAGCGAUAGUUGGAUUCACGAUAGGCUCUUCAGAACCUUAUACCGUGGAUUUCCUCUUCCGGAUGUGUGAAUCCUUUGAACCAAGGAGUCUGCCAUACUUUUGUGUAGGGGCAGAUGAUUGGCUAGCAACUAAUGUAUGUGGAUCACCAAGAUUGGCAUCCCGGGCCUCAAGGAGGGAAGUUCAUCGUACAUUUGGUACAUCCAUCUUUGCAGGCGUAUUCGCAGCUGGAAUAUGUGAUCUUGUCAUGCGCGCUAGAUAGGUGAAAGCAUAUGGCAUGCUUUGAGCUAUACUCCGAAGAUUUAAUAUGCGCUGCAUUUCAGUUUCAAACUGAGUAGUACGAGGAUCUAAAUGAGACAAAGUGGGGAUCGUUCACGAUAAUUCGCAUCAUUCUUUAGGAAUGUUGACGUUCUUAUCUCCUUCUAAUGACAAGAAAACUGUCUCAUAGAAGUGACAAUCCGUAAAACAAGCGGUAAACAAAUCACCUUUCAAAGGUUCUAAGUAACGAAUAAUCGAAGGAGAAUAAUAUCCAACAUAGAUUCCCAUCAUUUGUUGAGGCCCCAUUUUUGUACGUAAAGGUGGCGAGAUCGACAUAUAUAUCGCACAACUAAAAACGCGCAGAUGCGAUAUAUCGGGUUUGUAUCUGGUAACCAACUGAAGGGCACUAAAUGGUUGUGUUACAACAGGCCUCAGGCGGACCAACAUUGUUGUGUGCAAUCUUGCAUGGCCCCAAGCAAUGAUCGGGAGCUGGGUACGUAUGACCAACAAUAGAGCAAUCAUUUGUAAGUGCUUAAUGAAAGCCUCUGCCAGGUCGUUCUGGGUGUGAACAUGGGGUACAAGAUGUUCAACAUCAACCCUAACCUACAUGUAAUAGUCAUCAAAAGUUUUAAAUGUGAAAUUUUCAGCAUUAUCCAAUCGAAUAGAUUUGAUCGGAUAAUCAGGGUGGUAAGCCCCGAGCUUGAUAACCUGAGCCAACAGUUUGGAGAAUGCAGCAUUCCUUGUGGACAACAAGCACACGUGUGACCAACAUGUGGAAGCGUCAACUAAAACCAUAAAGUAUCUAAAUGGUCCGCAGGGAGGGUGAAUCGUUCCACAAAUGUCCCCUGAAUUCGUUGUAGAAAAAUGGGAGGAUUCGAACAAAUCUUGUCCUAAGAAGGCUUAGUAAUAAGUUUUCCCAUAGAACAUGUUUGACAUGCGAUUCCUUUGAUUGAACCUAAGCUUCGGGUUAGUGGAUGCCCGUGUGAUGAUUUGGGGAUACGGCGCAUCAUUAUUUGUCCAGGAUAUCCCAAAUGAUCAUGCCAAAGUGUAAUUUCGUGCGCGGUCCCAGUAGUAGGGCCUGCCAUAUAGUGGAAUUCUAUGGGACGUAUGGUCGUAGUAUACAGACCACUCGGGAUACGCUCCAUCUUCUCUAGAAUACGCUUCUGGCCAUAUUCGUAGGAAGUUAUGCACAGAAAUUCAACUCUGUUUUCUAUGUGGGUUUCAACGAGGUAAUUGUUAUCUCUAAUGUCCUUGAAAUUUAACGUUAUUCCGGAAUGUGGAGAAUAGAGUGCCUUAACAAUAGUCAAGAUUGUACCAUUGGACAACAUUAUAUGUGCCUUACCGUAUCUUUCAAUCAUGUUGGAUGAGCCUGAGAGGGUUGUCAGAGGUGCAUUCUUAGGUAUGAAAGUGAAAUAGAUGCGUUCACGCAAAACUGUGCGUGUGGUUGCACUAUCUGCCAGACAACUAAUUUCCCCACUAGUCAUACCUAGAAUGAAAAAUUAAUUUGAAUUGAUCACAUGCAUAAAAGUUCUAAAAAAACAAAUAUGAAUUCAAAAUAAUUUUAUUUAUUCAAGGAUGGUAAUUAAAAAAAAACUUAAUAUCCAAAAACAAAUCACCAACAAAUAAUCCAAACAUAAAGGAAAAUUGUUCAAAAAUCAACCAACAAACAAAUUAGGGGGUUCGGCCACUAGGUGGAAUUCGGUCCCAAUGUCUUAUUUCAACUAAAAAAUAAAUUUAUGUCUAAGAUUCUAAUCUUCCAUAGGGGUGGUAUCCUCUUGAAAGUUAGAAACCUCCAUCUUUGUAGUCUCCAGUUCGUCCACUUGCUUGAAGUUUGAUUCAAACUUCUUACAACGAGAAUGAUAUUCAUCUAUAACAUUCUUGGGAGCGAGGCAAACACGGGACCAAUGGUCCUUUGAACCACAGUGAUAACACAUAUUCGCAUCCAUGGUUUCAGGUGCUUUGCCCUUAUUCUUGAAGUUCGGGGCCUUGGGAGUGAAGUUUGAGCACUUCACUUUGUUUCUUCCCUUAGAUGGGCCUUGACUCUGUUGACCUUGGUGGGAUAACUUCUGGCCGCCCUUACCAAGCCUCUUUUGGAAUUUUGGGCAUUGGUUUGUACUUCAGGCACAUCAGUCGCCCUAGGUCUAGCUUGAUGAUUCUUCAUCAACAACUGAUUCUGCUUUUCAACGAGAAGUAAAACAGAAAUUAAAUCCGAGAACUUAGUGAAUUUCUGACCUCUAUAUUGUUGCUGCAGGACAACAUUAGAAGUAGAGAAGGUCGAAUAGGUCUUCUCCAGGGGAUCCUCUUCGGUCAAAGUUUCAUUGCAAAACUUGAGAAGUGAUUGGAUUCGACAAACUUCAGAAUUAUAUUCAUUCACGGACUUAAAGUCUUGGAAGCGCAAAUGCUGCCUAUAUUGUCUUACUUCAGGCAAAAAUAUGUCAUUUUGGUGAUCAAAGCGAUCAGCCAAAGCGACCUAUAGUGCAUGUGGAUCCUCCUCAGCAAGAUAUAUCUUCGAAUGAAGAUCAUAGCAGAGGCUUUUUCAACUUCGCCAAUUGGGUUGUUCGUAUUUUCUUCAAUAGCAGAACACAAGUUUUUGGCUGUGAGGUGGAGCUUCACAUCUUGGACCCACUUGAGUUAGUUCCUUCCAGAGACAUCCAAAGCAGUGAAGUCAAGUUUGUUUAAAUUCGACAUGUUCUUAGCACAAAAUAGAUGGACAAGAUGUGGUUAGUGUAAUGGAGAAAAAAAAAUCAAUCCAUUCACAUAGGAGUAGAAUAUACAUGUUCUAAUAGACAUGUAUUGCUUUAUUUUUGGAUGAAAAACUUCGGAGUUUCAUGGGUGAUGUUUUUAAAUGAAAACUUUAGGUUUUCAAACAAGGCAUGUUUAUAAGAAACUUCAGGUUUCAAAUAAUUAUGAACUUCAGGUUUAUAUAUGACACUCCCCGAUCCGGAAUGUCCACUAGGACCCCGAAUCGAGCUGUGCUGGCCGCCACCUGGAAGGUGACGAAGCCAUAAAUGUUGGAAAUAUGCCCUGAAAGUCAAUCUUUGGAAGAAAUCUUUCAGGACAAAUGAAUGGAUGUAUGGAUGAAUCUUAUACAUCAAAGGCAAAAACACGAAUUAGGACUAUCUCAAAGAACGAUAUAUGUCCUAAAUAGUGUAUCCAUGGACAAUAGUUUGACUAAAAGAAGUAAUCUAAUGAUGUUAGAUUACAGAGACCUUCUUCAUAUAACCAAAUGUCCAAAAGGUUCCUAGUCAUUGGAUUGUCGGAGGGAUACUAACAAUACGUAGACUGGUACAUACUGUGUCUGCUUCAAAUGGAAGGAUGGAAAGUCUCAUCCCAUUCGUGUUGUGACACUAAGACAAGUAUGUAGGUGCUCAUUAGGGGAAUGAGUUCACUGAACACAAUCGAACGAGAGUACUUGCAUGGAGGUCUACUCACAUGUCAAGCAAGUAACUCUAAUGGUUGGAAUAAUGUAAGUAGUCCUUAGACCUGAGGCAUCGUCGUUGUCUUGUGGCUAAGUACUUAAUCUUUGAUUAUGUCAAAGUCUCCCCAUUCGAGGGUGUCCACGGCAUGAUUGGGGUUAAGCCACUUAGUCAUGAAGGCAAGUGUAUGCGCAACAAGGAAUCUCUAAUCCUCGAUAAGAGAGGAAGAAUGCUCUAAGAUAUGAUUCGGGAAUCUUCGGCCGAAGUAUCGAGCGUAUUAAAAGGAAUGCGUUCCUAUACGACUCAAAUGAAUCAUAUAAGAAGGAAUAAUCACAUUAGGGGUUUGACAUAAUAUAUCCAUACCCUAAUGAUGUGAUUGAGAGUAUUGUAUUAGAGAAGGAUCGAAUUACAUUGUAAUUCUAACUGAAUAGGUUCUCUGAAUAAACUUCUACAUUAGCUUGGGUAGCUAUGACAUAUGGUUAGAUGUCAAUCAUAGCUUGUGAGUUCUUCUAGAUGAUUAAAUGUAGUCAUCAAAGAAGAAUGGUGAAUUGAAAUGAAGUUUCAAUUCACUAAGUGAUUGAAUUAAUUGGAUUAGUGCCAAUCACCUCACUGCCUUGCUAAUUAGAACCUAAAAGAUUGUUCACCAAUACACUAUUGUAGUGAGUAAUUAAUGGAUGAUGGAAACAAUUAAUUGGAUUAAUUAUGUGUUGUGAUUAAUUUAGAAAAGUCUAAAGAAAUCAUAAAAGCGAUAAAGAUCGUUUUGGGCUUAAAGAAACGUUCGGGUUUAAUUGGGCCCAUUGGGCCUAAACCCAUUGGGCUUUUAUUCAAGCAUUGGAUGACUUGAAAUAAAUGAAAGCCCAAAGCCCAAACAACACAAAGAGGGCCGGCCACAUUAGGUAUAGAGAGAGAGAGAGAGAGGUCAAAUGUUGACUUGUUUUCUUUUGGCUAUAAAAGGAACUUUAUAGCAAAUGUUUCAUUAGGGUUUUUUGUGUGUUUAGAACAACAAAUAGGCAAAAGAAUAUCUCUCAAAACCACAACAAAGGGCCGGCAACCUAGGGGAUGAAAUAGCUAACAAUCUUUCACCCUUUUGGUUAUUCCUUCAUCCUUCUCACUACACUAGUGGGUGAGGAUCUUUAGAGGUUUCCUACUUUGGAAACUUGAAGAGAACCUAGGAGCACUCAUUCUUUCAAAGUGGAGGAGGCAAGGAGGGAAGCUAGGCUCAAGGAUUUCAAGGAGCAAAGAGCUUGGAGGUGGUCCAUCCUUGGUCUAAAAUCAAGAUCAAGAGGUAUAGAUCUAUUCCUUGACUUUGUUCUUGAUUCAUUAAAAUGUUUUGAUGCAUUAUAUAUAAACCUAUGAACCUUGAAGGGGAUUUACAUGACUAUAGCUUUGAUUUUAUUUGAUAACAUGCUUCCGUUGCUCAUGUAUAUAUGUUUUUGAAUUGUAUAUGCAUGAUAGUCAUCUAGAAAUCCCACAAGAAACUCAUAGAUUUCCCUUCAAUAAAGUGGUGAUAAGGAAAAAUGCGAAUAAUUUUAAACCUAAAGGUGCCUAAUAACAGAGUGCACUGUGCGUGGGUAUGAACCCAAAUCACAUGUGAUGUCAGAGCAUAGUAAAGUACAGCAAUAUAGGUAGAAACCGUACCCACAAAAGUAGCCACCUUAACAGGGACAUGCCACGAAUCCUCGUCGAUAAAGAACUUUGCUACUAGAACCUGGAGGGGCGCAAAACAGAAAACGUGAGUGGGCAAAAAUAAAGCUUUUCAAAACAUCUCAUUUAUUCAACAUUUAUAACCCCUCUCUGAAAAACCUGUAUACUUUCUCAGAAAAUAAUAUAUAAUCGUAUAUAAACAUAUAUAUAUCAUCAAAAGCUCAAAUCACAAUCCUUCAACGCUUUUCAGAAAGAAUAUGUCAUGCCAUGCCAUAUGCCAAAAUAUAAUAUGAAUGCAUCAAUAUAAAUCAGGUGAAAUAACAAAUCAACCGGAGACCCUAUAGUGGUCCUGUACGGCUGAUUCUAUAGCUCAAUAUCCCAUCCAGCCGGAGUCACCAACUGUGACCUGUACGGCCCUGCCGGAGUCACCAACUGUGACAUGUACGGCACUACACUGCACAUAAGUCGGAACUACGUAUAGUAGUCUGUACGACUAAGAUGGUGAAAUAAUACGCUCUAGUGCUUCUCUCAUCAAUCAUCUGCGCGCAUAAUCUAAGGUCACCCACCAGUCGGAACCUCUCUAAUGGUCUGUACGACUGGCAUGUCGGAACCACCUCUAGUGGUCUGUACGACAUCCACCUACUUGGAUCCAAGGCGAGCGUGCGGUGUGGUGAAUAAUAUAAGCACUAUCACCUAGGGUGCAUGUUAUGAGCUUUCAAUGCCAUUCACAUAAAUAAAUCGUCUGAAUAAUAUAAAAACUCACCUGUGCGUCCACAGCACCAUUUCACAUAUAUGCAUCAUAUACCAAAUCAUAUAAUUCAUAUAAUUUCUAUGUAUGGCAUUUCAAAACUCAUUUCAUAACGCAUUUCAUUUAACUCGAUUUCUGGGAAAAUCAAUAGUAUAUAGAUAUAUAUAGAAAACAAAUGCCCACUCACCUGGGGUCCGCGCUACGACUUCCUAACAUCAAAACCAAGGCGUCCCGAACGCUCGGCUCCUAAAACAGUUAUCAAACCACGUCUCAGAACUCUUAUCCAUAUAAUAUGAAAUUCACAUAACACAUAGCCACAAGGGCAUUCAAGAAUAAUGCGAGACCCUUUGAUCAAAGGUCAACCGUCGACUAAGUUCGACGGUAGGGUCGUAACCCCACAUAACUCAAUCUGAAAGAUCCACAACUCAGAUUUCCGAUCCGUCACUCCCCAACAUACACAUUAAGCUUCUAGAACAAUAUACUAAAAUUUCGUUACGAUCCGACGGUUGGAUAUCCGCCAAUUUCCAAGACUAAGUGGCGGUUAACCUUUUCUUUUAUGAACUUACAAAUCCAAUUCGGGAAGAUCCAUCCAUCGAAUUCCCGAUCCGUAAGUUCCCAAAUUCUUCAAAUAUUAUGUACUACUACAUAUCAAAGUUUAAUGAAGAUCCGACGGUUGGAUCUUCGAUUCACCUUUUUGGCCUAACCAUGAAUCGUAUCGAAUUUAAGUCCAAAUGAUCAACCAACGACAAACCACUAUCAAAACUGAAUUUAGGAUAUCAAACAUAGCCUAAAAAUAACAUUGACGGUCCACUGGCCAUGCGCCGCUGUGGGUGGCGGUCGGCCGCCCCGGCUCGCCGGAAAAUUCAACUAUUUCCAAAAAUUACCAAAAUUUACAGAAAUGAAGAUAUCAAUGAGUAGAGAAACUUUCAUACCUGUGGCCAAGGCCAAUUCGGUCGGCAAGGUCUCUAAUUUCAACAAAACCCGUCGGAAACCCUAGGUUUUGGGUGUGCUCAAUCCGUCCUCAAAUCAACUUCGCCAUCCCAACCAUUGCUUGGGCUUUGUUCUAGGCCUCAAGAGGAUGCCAUGGGUGGUGGCAAUUGAAAGAAAUUGCUUCGGGAUUGGGUGAUUCGAAGCUAAGACCGCCGCACCCUUCCUCGCGGGUUCCUCCAUUUUCAAGACCAAAUCUCUCCAAAUUUGAGAUGGAAUGGAUAGAAGGAAGGUCGUGGAGAAGUUCCUAAGUAAUUUCUUGCAGCAAUUCGACGGAAAAUGGGUGAAAAUCGUUGAAAUUGCACACGAGUGCCGACCGGGUUGAACACGGGUUGCGGGUUCCCUCAACCCGUUUCUCCUCCGUUCCUCCGCUUCUCACCCUCUCUCAUUUCCUCCCUUCCCUGUUCCGAUUGAUCAAUCUCUCUCUCUCUCUCCUCCCAAUUCGGCCAGCUCCCUCCUUUCUCUCCCGUAGCUACUGCAUCUCUCCCUCUGGUUGGGCAGCUUGCCCAACCUCUUCUUCUUCCUCUUCUUUUUCCUUCUUUCCUUUCCAUCCGCACCAUCCAUUUCUUCUUCUUUAAAUCUAGGCCAUCCAAAUAGCACACCAGAUUUUAUAAAGGAAGAAUCCAUAUUUUCUGAAAUUAAUAAAUUGAUCAAAUUUCAAACUUUAAUAACUUCUUUGUUAUAGCUCCAAAUCACGAACCGCUUACGCCCACGCGUCCGUAGUGACGAGUACUACAAGAAUAUGCCAAAAAAUCAAGUCUUACGUGUCAUGACAAGCGAUUAACACAAAUCAAGACAUAUGCCUCAAAGGGCCUUUUCGAAAUUCCACGUAAUACAAUUAUAAAAAUCAUAAUUUUUUGGGACGGGCUGUCACAAUAUAUUCCUGCAGGCAAACACAAAUAUAUACACAAAAAUAUGCAACAAGAAUAUGCAAAAAGUAUGGCUUUUAGGUCAAUAAUUAUAAUUGAAUUCAAUUAUUUGGACUUCGGGCCAAAUUAAAGAAUGGGUGAAAAAAUAUAAAAACCAUUGGCCCUAAAAUAAUUAGGCGAAUAAAGCUCGGGGCCCAAAAGAAAAACUACGUCCACGGGUGGUUUAAGAAAAAUGGUGCCGUGCAUCCUAGGCCUUAGGGUGGGCUGGGUUUUGUCUCAAGUGGGGCUGCAGGCCCACAGGGAGAAGAAAAUGGGUCGGGCCGUUGAAAGUGAACCCUUAAAAAAUUGCACACGAUUUUUUUUUUCACGGGUUAGAGGAAACCAAUCGGGCCGAGAGAAGGGUUUGCAACGGGCUUUGGCUUACAAACCCAAAAUCAAGUUUUGGUUUUAGAUUGGUCCGUGAAGAACCAAAGCCCAAAGGGCUAUGUUGUUAGACCAAAAGAACAACCUAACGCGUGCUGGGUGUGCUUUGCCGGGGAAGAAUGUCAGAUUUAGUUGACGGCAUUUCCAAGUCGGGGCAAGCCAUGGUUCGUCGGAGAACCAAGUGUUUGUCAAUGGAGAUGAAAUCUCAACGUCGAGGGAGAGAGAACCGAAUGAAUUCAAUUGAAUUCGAGAAAAAAAAAGUAUGAAAUUCUUCUGGAAUUUCGAGAAAUCGUUAUGAAAAACGAUGGGUGUUGUCCAAUUUUCACGAUUGCCAGUCAUGUUUAAAAAACCGACAUGGGAGACCUGGGCUUCAAGUCGUGGGUCGGGACGGUGGUGCAUCAAGUGCACCCGACCGGUGUUCAAUAUUGGGCUGGGCUUGCAUGGUGUGGCCUAUCGCCAUGGAUGGGAUAGUGCAGGGCACGAGUUCAAAAGAACCCUAGGUUUCCCGAUUUGGAUUUUUUUUUUUCAAUUCAAUUCAUAUAUAAUUCAAUUUGAUGCAUAUGCAAUUCAAUAAUUUGAUGCAUGUAAAUAUAUUUGAUACAAUUCAUGGCAAAAUAUCAAAUUCACAUAAUUUAAUAAUUAUGAAUAUAAUGCAUACACAAUUUAUGUAGAAUCUAAAAUUCGAAAAACGUAAACUUGGGUCAUGCAUUAUGGUAAAUGUUUAUGCUAUCAGGGCUGCAAAAAUAUUGAGAUAAAAACCGUUGUUUUGAAAGAACCUGAUUGCGUGAUGAUAUGGAUGAAUUGGUUUGAUGCAGAAAAAUUCUUCAACGUCAGAUUCCUAAGCGUAGCGGUAGGAGCGUGCUGAUAACAUGUUGUGGCCUAUUUUAUUUGACAAGGUUAUGGUGGUCGGCGUCAUGGAGAAGAGAGAGUGUGAGAAAUAUGUUUGUAGAAUUGUAGGGGAAUGUGUGUUGUUAUCCCUCAUACAUUGUGCCUUUACUUAUAAUAGUAAAAGAGAGAAGAUAUUUCUUCUUCCCCAAGUAAUACAAGUUGUAAUAGGAAAUGAUAACUAGAAUCAAAUCUAAUCUAGGAUUUACACAAUCACACUUAAACUAGGAUUUACACAAUCACAAUUCAUGACAAAUAUCCACUUUUUAUUUCAUUACUAUAAAUUGGCAUUGUCUCUUGCUUUAAUAAAGUUCCAUAAUUUCCCAAACAAAUAUUCCUCCAAAACAUAACACAAAAAAGAUGAAAAAAUAAAUUAAUUAAAUAAUGAAGUGAAGCUUACUAUGUAAUGUAUUUUAAUGUUUUGAACCGUCUUAUAUUUUAAAACAUUAUUCAUAGAUCAUCUUUGUAAAAAAUAGACAAGACAAAACCAUUCAGACAUUUAUUUAUAUAUUAUUACGGUUGAAAUUGUUUAUUUUUUUUGGGCCGUUUAUUGACUUUCGUUUUUAGUUUUAAUUUUUAAUUUUUAAAAAAGUAAAAAAAAAAUGUCAAAUGGCCUAUUAAUAACUAUGUAACUACCAUCACUACACAAGGAAAAAAAAAAUUCAACUAAAUUAAUGAUAAUUUAAUCGAGUGUCUGAACAAAACAACUCAAUUAAACAUACAAUAAUUUCCACAAUAAACCCACAAUUGUUCUGAUGUAUAUGCGUGACUAAACAACUAAUAAGAACGACCACGAGUUGGUGGUCUAGUGGUAAAUGACGGAUUACGAGGCUUUUUUAAAACUAAAAACUAGAGGUCUUGGGUUCGAAACCCGUUGUUGGUGUGGAAGCCAGACUUGUGGCCAGGGAAGGCUGAAAUGCCUCUGUGAGUUUUUCCAGCUCCCGAAAAUGGUGGAUAAUUAUGGCUUGCCACCAGUUGUCCUCCUUUUAAGAAAAAAAAAACAACUAAUAAGAAUUAAAUAAUAACCAAUUCAAGUAAUUUGAAACAAAUAAGAUCUGUAAACAAUAAUUAAGAAAUUUGAACCAUUUCAAUUAUAAACAAACGAUAUUAUCUACAUUAAGGGGGAGGAGGUGAGCUUAGCCUAACAAUGGGCUAGCAAUAAUGUAGUUCAAACUCGUAUUUGGCGAGAAUCGAACCUAAGACCGUUGAGUCAAAAUUGUACAUAAUAUGUAAACAAAUAAUUCACUCGACACAAUUUCACCCUCAUUCAUUUUUUUCAAAGAGGGUUUUAUUAAUUUAAGUUCGACUCAUUCUAGACUAUGCGUCUAUUAAUUACAAUCCUUCAUUAAAACGAAAAACCCUUUGAUUCCAAUAUGAAUAAAUCGUAACUUGGAGAUUUUGAGUGUUUGAUUUUUGCUACUGCACCUUGGUUGAGCCCUAGAUUGCCUGCGUACCUUCGUUGAGGGAUCAAGUCACUCGUAGUUCUUUAUGUAUUUGUUGGGGUUUGAUGCCUUGUGCAGUUUCAGCUCGUGCCAUUUGGGAUGUGAUAUGGCUUCGUGCCCUUUAAAACUUAUCGUGGGCUUCAUGCCAUUUGAAUUUAGAGUGGCUUUGUGCCAUUUGAGACUCUAUCUUGGCUUCGUGCCAUUUUGGGAUUUGAUACGGCUUCGUGCCAUUUGGUAUUUGAUAUGGCAUGAUUUUCACCAAUUUGAGGUGGUGAAUCCAUCGAGUUUUGUACUUUGAGAUAGUUCAGAUCCACGGUAUUUAGAGUAAUUUACAUCCGCGAAUUUGGUGUUGUCGAUGUUAUCUCCAUAAUCCUUUAUUUUGGAUUGGUUGGAUUCAACAUGUCUCCAUCACGCUAUUAGGCUCCUGUCAUUUGGUGCUCGUCCUCGGCUCUAAUUCAUAAGGUCUACAUUUACAAAGCCUAUAUGAAUUUAGAUGGGGAGUUGUGGCUUUUCUUUGUUCUCCACGUGGGUAGCAUUCCCACUUAACUUAAAGAGAUUUUGUUUUGCAGAAAGCUUAUUUCUUCUUCUAUUUCAAGACUUCAAAUUUUCUAAGUCCCAAAUAGGGCUUCAAGUGGUGGUGUUUGGAGAGGAAAACCAUAUUUUACCUUUCCAUUUAUUUUGCAUUUGCAUGGAAGACAACUGCCUUUUUUUUAAGUGACCACGUGCAUGGUUUAGAAGAUAAAUUUAUUUCUCUUCUUCUUUAUUGUAGUUUUCCUUUGCAGACUUAGCAAUCUCCAUUUUUUCCUUAUCUUUCGAAUUCCUGGCACAAAAGGCUUUGGGUGGAACUCUUGUAUCCCAUGUUAAUUUUGAACAAGAGAACAUUAGAUUAACUCCUGCUGGUUUUCUUCUACAAGUGAGGUUGAUCUCGAAGCCAUGGUCUUGCUGCGUUUGUCAUUUAGUCAAGUAUAGUUGCUGCACACCUCCGAGCAACGUCUUGCAUAGCUGUUGUUGGUGGCAAAGGCAAUGGUUCUUUUGCUGUUGUUGGCAGAGAAGCAAAUAUCUUUUAGCUAUUUAUUUAGAGAUGUGGCAAAUUUCCUUUCUUUCCUUUUGUCUUGUAGCAUCUGUCAAUUUGAUUUCAAUGCUUUUGGUUAAUAUUUUUGACCCAAUAUUUGAUCAAAAUGAUAUCCACAUUUAAGUCGUUUGAAAGACUUCUUCCUUCUUUUUGGUCAAUUCUUUGAAGCACGGUGCCGCUGACAUGUUUCUUGUUUUAUGCACAAAAUUUAAUCCAUGGGGGCCAUGCUCAUAAUGCUCACAUGAGUGGAAAGUUUUGGAGUAGCUUUUGUUUUCCUCUCUUGCUGUAGCUUUUUCCUUUCUACAUUUUAUAUUUUUUUUUGUCUGGUGUGGAUGCAAAUUUCCGUAUCAUUCUUCUUGAACAAAAUUGCACAUACAAAACAAUUAACACCUUAGGGUCAAGGCCAAGAGCCUCACGCGCUCAUGAUGAAUGGGGGGGCUUUAGCCGAAGAACCUUCGAUGCCAAAGUUAGAAUUUAGAGAGAAAAGUGUUUGGAGAGUUUUUUAGAGUUUUGCAAGAGUGUGGAACCUCCAUUUUUAGAGAAAAUUCAGUCAUAUUUAUAGGGCAUGGCUGGUCCUUUAUGUAUAUUUUGGGUGUUAUUUGGUGAUUUAAUUAGCAAUUAAUAUAUUGAUUAGGAAUUAAUAUAUUUAUUGGCUAAUUAACAUGAUAAAAUGAAUGUUUUGGGGAGGUUAUGUAAUUUGUGUGGAAGGUUUUGAAGGUUAUGGAAUGAUUUCCUUGUAGAAGAUAUAGAGUAAAGAUGGAUGAGAUAAAUUUGAACUUGUUACCUAUUUUUGGGCACUCUUGACUCGGUUGAUGAAUGAUUCUCAACUGCUCGCGUGUAGGAAACCAGGUGUGUCUUGAGGGUAAUUUUGUCCUCUUCACCUAAAAAUCCACGUGUCGCCUCUUGAUUAUUUUUGGCUCCACAAAUGCCCCCACACCUGCUGGGCUGCUCGUAGAAAAGAGCAACAGGUGUAGAGAUCUUUUUGCUCUAGGAAACUUAGAACUGCUUCCUAUUUUGAUGUAGAUUCCCUCUUUAAUAUGAAAUUAGAUCUUUCUAGGAAAGGGAAAUAAAUUUCUCUCAAAGCCUAUUUAAGUCCACCUUAAGUGGGUUGUUAAAUCAACUUUGGACAGCGAUUUAUUCUACCCUACAAGAGAGAGAAAGCUUAGAGGAUAUUUGUUCCCCCUCCUCUAGCAAUCCUCUACAUCUUGCCCGUGCAAAGGACCGUCUUUCGUUGCUUUCUUUGUCUUCUCCAUGUCGCACCAACGUAAUAAAAACUUAAUUUCUUCUUGUCUUCUUCUUGGGUGGUGCUACCACGGGGCAGUCGUCGCGGUGGUGCUGCACGUCGGCUGGCAGGGGCCAAGAAUCUGCUUGGCAAGGGCCAAUGAGGUGAUGUAGCAGGGGGCCAUUGCUUGAGCAGCUCGGCUUGAUUAAAGCCAAUGAUUGGUUUGGCAUAGGCUGAUGAAGUGGUGUGGAAUAGGCAAUUUUUUGGGCUGCCUGCUGAAAAUGAGGAAACUGCUUGAGUUUGAUUUUUCAACUGUCAUAGAUGGAGCAGUCAAGGAUGAAGCUGCCAAGAUCAGAGUUGUUGAAGAUGAAGUGUCGGAUGAGCGAACUGUUAAGUGUAAAAGUAGCUGCUGCCCCCUAACCAUUUGUUGUUUAGUUGAUCUUCAAGCAUUCGAUCUUUUGAACGAUGUGGCCUUCUCGCACUAGAUAGCUUACCCAAAUGGGUGUCAGUGAAUUAGUUUACCCUCUCGCACUGGAGAGCAAUUGGUUUACCCUAUCACACUGGAGAGCAUACCUAUAUGGGUGUUGGGGAAUUAGUUUACCCGCUCGCACUGGAGAGCAAUUAGUUUACCCUCUCGCACUGGAGAGUAUACUCAUAUGGGUGUCAAAGAAUUAAUUUACCCUCUUGCACUGGAGAACAAUUAGUUUAUCCUCUCGCACUAAAGAACAGACCUAUAUGGGUGUUGAUGAAUUAGUUUACCCUCUCGCACUAGAGAGCAAUUAAUUUAUCCUCUCGCACUGGAGAGCAGACCCUUUUGGGUGUCGGGGAAUUGGUUUACCCUCUCGCACUGGAGAGCAAUUAGUUUAUCCUCUCGCACUGGAGAGUAGACCCAUAUGGGUGUCGGGGAAUUGGUUUACUCUCUCGUACUGGAGAGCAUGGAAGUCGUUGUCGUGAGUGCAGCUCAGGAAAACUGAACUGCUGGGACAAUCGAAAUAAUCCUUAGCCUGCGAGGUCAUGUUUGGCGAUCUGUUUGAGACUUCAAACUGUUUGUGGAUCUCGCGUAAGGGUGUAAGCGCAGUGAGCUGCUCCCAGAAUUAUUGUGCCAUCAUUAGGUGUUUCGUCGUGUGCCUUUUUUAGGCUUGGUUGGCACGAGCCAUAUGGCAAGAUUGGCAUAGCUAGGAGCCACGGUGCAAUAUUGGCACAGAUAUGAGCCAUGAUGAUAGAUCAAUGGCUGCUGGAAGCCGUGGAGCAGGCAUGCGUGGUUGUGAAAUCAGAGAUGGGGCUGGCUUGGGCCAGGUUGUGCGCAGCGGGAGGAAUUGUCUGGAGUAUUGAGAACAAGGUCUGCCCCAGGUUCUUGGUAGUCAGGCUGGUGUGUCAUUAUGGUACUCGUCUGCCCCCGGCGUGUCGUAACAGAAAAAGUCUUUAUAUCCGGCAAUCUAUGAGGGGUAGUCCCAUUUGCUCGAUCUUGUCAUUGAAAGAUAACUCGCUUAUGUUGGUCAUGUCUCAUCAAAGUGCUUUGUCAAUAGCUUCGUUGCACGGGAAAUCACACAAUCGCUCGGUCAUGAGUAUUUCUACUUCUUUCUAAAUUUACCUUUGUUAGGGGUGGCAGAGCCCUCGGCUACCCUCGGUCGUGACCUGCUGGUCUAAGCUGCUCUUUCAUGUGUUUGACUCGUCUAUGCCGCGGCUGCGGUCGAUAUGGUAUGUUUCUAGCAAGAGAGCAAGUAACUCGCAGGCUACUGGUUGAACUUGAGCUGGAUUGAGUGAUUGCUUAUCUCCGUCCGCUGUGCUGCCUACUCCGAUGUAAGGUGGAUGAUGCUUCUUGCGGGCCUUGUCACGAAUGAACACUUUGCCUAGAAGGUUGCUCAUGUUGAUUAUCGGAGUGUGGCCCCAACCGUGAGUGUAUGUUCGUCCGUGGGCCUAAUCAAGAGUGCACGCUCCUCUGCACAUUAAGACGGGAGUAUACGUUAUCUCGAAGGCCCAGUCAGGAAUGUACACCGCCAGAACGCUCGGUUCGUAGUUGGUCGAGUGGCUGCUUACCAGGACAUUGCUGGAGAGGUUCUUCGUCUGCCCUUGUCCUACUUCGGGAGACCUUGUCUGGGGCACAUUGCAUCUUGGUGCGCUGCAAGAGCUGGUUCACUAAGGUCGUUUGUUGUGCAAGGGCGCUCGUCAACUCUAUGACUUGUCGAGACAAGUGUUGUUCGCCACUUAGAUUGGAAGAACUUGAAAGGAAUGUGCCUCCUUGGGCAGUGGAAGGGUGGUAGACUCCGGGCAUGAGAUUUGAAUUGGGAAAUGUCAAAUUCACGGAAAAAUGUGGUAAGAAUGCCUCCGACUCGAUGGUAGGUCUGGAUGGUUGAGAUAAUCUUGGGCCGACUUAAGCUGCUUGGAAAGCCACGAGAGCAAAUUGGGCCGCGGGAGUAGGCUGGGCCACAAGAGCAGGCUGGGCCGCGAGAGUGGGCUGCUCAGCGGGAGCAGGUUGCUCGGUGGGAGCAGGCUGAGCCACGGGAGUGGGCUGCUCGGCGGAAGCAGGCUGCUCAGUGCGUGAUGCAUGCGAAUGCGAGGCUUGGGCCUGGGCCCGUGCAAGCUUGGAUGGCAUGGCUUGGGCCAUAGUGGAACCUCGUAGUGGUGGUACCACUCCGCCUAUGACCACAUUUAGCCUCGUGGAUUGCCUCGGUCCCAUUUCUUGAGUAUUAGAAUUUUCACUUGUGGAAUUUUCUAAAUUUCUAGCCAUUAUAUUUUUCUUAUACGUUUUAUCAAAGAACCUUUGUAAAUAAAAAAUUAUAAUAAUAAGAACGUAUGAAAAAUAUUCAAAUGGACUAGAAAAUAGAGAAAAACUUUUUUAUGCGAGAGUCUUCUACGAGUAUGGAUCUCAACUCUUAAUGAAAGCACCAAUUUGUGGAUGCAAAUUUCCGCCUCCUUUUUCUUGAACAAAAUUGCACCUACAAAACAAUUAACACCUUAGGGUCAAGCCCAAGAGCCUCACGCACCCAUGAUGAAUAGGGGGCUUUGGCCGAAGAACCUCCGAUGCCAAAGUUAGAAUUUAGAGAGAAAAGUGUUUGGAGAGUUUUUUGAGAGUUUUGCAAGCGUGUGGAACCUCCCUUUUUAGAGAAAAGUGAGUCAUAUUUAUAGGGCAUGGUUGGUCCUUUAUGUAUAUUUUGGGUGUUAUUUGGUGAUUUAAUUAGCAAUUAAUAUAUUGAUUAGGAAUAAAUAUAUUAAUUGGCUAAUUAACAUAAUAAAAGGUAUGUUUUUGGGAGGUUAUGUAAUUUAUGCGGAAGGUUUUGAAGGUUAUGGAACGAUUUCCUUGUAAAGGAUAUGGAGUAAAGAUGGAUGAGAUAAAUUUGAACUUGUUACCUAUUUUUGGGCACUCUUGACUCGGUUGAUAAAUGAUUCUCCACUGCUCGCGUGUAAGAAACCAGGUGUGUCUCGAGGGUAAUUUUAUCCUUUUCACCUAAAAAUCCACGUGUCGCCUCUUGAUUAUUUUUUGCUCCAUAUCUGGCAUCAAGCUGACUUAUAAGAAAUAAUGGAAUUCUUAUAAAUUAAAAUAUGGCAGCCCAACAACUUGUUUCUUUUUAGAAAAAACUAAGUCUUUGAGAUGGCUUUUCCACCAUGUGUGAACUUGAGAGAGAAAGGCACGAGGACUCUUCUCUGUGCACAAAAAAAAUUGCGACAAUAAUCACUCUGCUAUGGAAAUUGAGGGACUUGCUACUUUCUUUCAACACUUUGUAAGACGACCAAUGAUGCGCAGAGGAGGGAAUUGAAAAUCCCUUUUCUGCAAAUCUUCUUUUUGCUACUACUGACUUGGACAACAACAUGCACCAUUUUUGGUGGACAUUACAUAGCAGAUGAGCCUGAACGCACUCCUUAUUUGUGCGGUCUCCCAUCUACAGACUGUCAGUAGCUGUGAGAAGAGACGAAGCUGAUUUUGAGCCUUCCACUGGAUGAAUAUGGCAUCCAAGAUUUGCACGGAUUUGGUACCUAAAUAUUUUCAUGUAGGUUUGCUGCUUGCUUCAUCUUUGUUUUUUUUUUGUUGGCUAUCUUCAGGGUUUCUUUAACAGGUAGACCACUUUUUGUUCUUCAACACCAAGCCGGUGCAAUUACCGAAAGAGACGUUGACGAUCUGAUUUUUAAGAGCAUUAGUUGCGGGGAGCGGAUCACUUAGACUUAGUUGGAACUUCAGGGGUGGUUUAGACCACCCAUAAGAAAUUCAUGGAGUUGACAGCAGCGGCAGGGAGUGGAUCACUUAGACUUGGUUGGAACUUCACGGGGUGGUUUAGACCACCCCAAAGAAAUUCAUGGGACUAAUGGCAGCGGCGGGGAGCGGAUAGCAUUGAAGAAGCAAAUUGCUUCUUUUUCUUUUUCCUGCAAAGCCGAGAGAAACCAAACAAAUAAAGAUUUAGAAGGAUGGAUUUGUGCCUUUGAAUGCUUUGUUGCUUUCCUUUGCCAUGUAUCCUCUUCUCUGUUUGCCCUUGUCUCCUAGAAUUUCUGCAACACUUUACUUCUUUGAUUGCUCUUCAACUUUCUGAAGAUUUCUGCCAUAUAUUCUUUUCUGUUGUCUCUUAAUUUCUGCAGCGUUUUUUUUGUUUUUCUCUCCUCCGUAUGCUUUUGUCGUGUGCCCUCCCCUUUUUAUAAACGCAAGGAGCAGUUCCAUUAACCUCUUCCAUUUUCUGUUACGUGUUCUACUUUCCCGGGGUGUGGGGAAGUUGAGGAAGGCCAUCACUUUACUGAGUUGAGAUGUGGGAGCUUAGGAGAGUUCUGGAUAGACAAGAACUCUAUUUUUUAGUCUUUGGGCAGAAAUGUAAUUCACACAACUAAAUUUUGUUGUUUUUUUUAAGUCUCACCUACUGUUAAAAUACCUCCAAUAUUAAAAAAAAAAAAAAAACCUCCCACUCCCUCCACGUACUCUCUCUCUCCCCCUCUCUCCUUCUUAUUUUCUAAAAAAAUAUGUUCAUACACACAAAAUGUGUAGGCAAAUGCUAAUAUAUAUAAUGUGAACCUUAUUUUUAGUCGGUCCACGUUUUGGACUACUAUUUUUUCUAAUGUAUCUCCAUCUUUAUAAAACUUGCUAAUAUAUUUUCUUUAUGAAAAUAUAUGGCUCAACAAAAACCUCUUAUUUACAAGUAAAAAUAAACACCAUUAAACCAUAAUAUUAACUGCCGAACCAUUUCAAUUAUAAAAUUUCAACAAUAAAAAGUGCUACAUUAAAAAAUAUAUAUAUAUAUCAAUAGUGAGGACGCUGAAUUAUUUGGACAUCCACGAAGUCAACUAAAAAGCUACGUCUCCUAGUCGAUUUUUCUUCAUUGAUUUCUCUUCUCUCUUUCUAGUCGAUUUUUUUGGAAUAAACAAAUGAACUGCUGCGGAGAGGGCCUCGCGGCUCCGGCGACGUCAGGGGCGGCCGUAUCGCCGCUCGAGUGGAAGUUUUCGCAGGUCUUCGGAGAAAGGACCGCCGGCGAAGAAGUUGAGGAAGGUAAGAGUAAUACUCUUCCCCUGAUUUUCGUUUCGUUUCGUAUUGUUAAGGAUUCACUAUUGCUUUCGUUCUCAUUACGUUUAAUACUAUUAAUUUAAUGUUAAAUACAUGUAGCGGAUGAUUUGUUGCAGAAAUUGUGUAUUGAAUGACGGGAGACGCCAAUGAAAUUUAAUCGAAAAAGUUUGGUCUUUUGAUGACCGAAGCAUUUGAGCUGAAUACUUAAGUUAUUGGCUGGUGGUUUUGUGGCUAUUAUUGAUUAAGCUAUACAUUUGGAGGUUGUCUAUUUGUGUAGCUGUCAGUUUUUAUUUUUCUUUUAAUUUAAUUCACUACAUUUUGAAGUGUUUCAAAAUAAUUAAAAGCACUUUUAGAAAAAAUGUGUUUGGGUUCUAAAAACACUUGAAGGACUUUCUGUAAGAACCACUAGUUAUGUGCAUCGUUCAGAAAACAUUUUAAGUGUUUUUCAAUAAUUUACUUCCAUUUUCACUCAGGGUUGGUUCUAAAAACAUUUUCACCAAAAAAAUUUUCAAUCAUUUUAAAAGCACUUUCAAACGAGCUAUGAUGUUGAUUAGUAUAGGGAUUCAUUUUCGAACAUAUUGUUGCAAUCGAUACAUGUAGAGCUAUAUUUUUAAACUUAAAGGCCCUAGAUUUGAGAAAUAAGUGAACUUGUUAAUCAAGUGUGAAGAACGCGUCAUUUGCGAUCAAUAGCUAUUCUUAUAUACCCGCUUUUGAAUUUCUGAAAAAGAUACUUUAUAGAGUGUUUGAGGGCAUUGAAGUGCUUGGUGCAGAAUUACUUAGGUUUGCUUACUUGCUGGUUGUUUUUGCAGUUGAUGUAAUAUCCGCUAUUGAAUUUGAUAGAACGGGGGACCACCUUGCCGCUGGAGAUCGUGGAGGCCGGGUGGUUUUAUUUGAAAGAACUGAUAUAAAGGAUGUAAGUUAAUACAUUUUUCUUUUGAGGGGUUUGGGGCAUGGAUGUGCAUUUUCCUUGUACUCAAUAUGCCGUUAUAUUUGUUACACUGGUGUGAUUUAGUUGUACUUUGAUGGUAUAAACUUAAAUAAUUAGCAUGGUGGACACCGGAGAGAUCUGGAGAGGAUGGAUUAUUCAAUCAGUGGGCAUCCUGAGUUCCGCUAUAAAACUGAAUUCCAAAGUCAUGAACCCAAGGUAUGACUUUCUUUGUGCUUAACGAGGACAAGUAUAAAUAGGCUUAUGAAGAUUUCCUCUUUGCUGGAAUCUGGAUUUGACUAACUUGCAUCCUAACUUGCAUCUUACUUGGUUUUUCCUGAACUCAGUUAGAUUAUUAUAAGAACUUGGAAAUUGUGGAAACAAUCAACAAGAUCAGAUGGUGUCAAACAGCUAACGGUGCACUGUUUCUCCUCUCCACUAGUAGCAAAACCAUCAAAUACUGGAAGGUAGCACCAACCUUUUGAACUCGUAUGUGGUUAUUUUAUAAAAGAUGAUUUCUCUCGAUAUCACAUCGUCCAGAGUAAUUUUAGCGACAUUAGUUGCAUUGCCCUUUCCAUUUAUAUAUUGUUCGGAACAAAGAUGGCGAUUACUUCAGCCAUUUCAUUUUAUACAUUAUUCUUGGGAUAAACACGCGCAUACGCACAUGCAGAGUGUAGUGGAUGAAUUGUUAUGCCUUCCAGUAGGCAGUACAACAACUUAAGAUAUAAUUAUUUUAAUUUUUUUAUUGUGGAAGGACACUAUCACUUCUGCUAGGUGGCUCACAACCAGGCAAUUGUGCAACAGACACUAUCACUUCCGCAAUACUACAGCCUGUAUGUAGCAGCCUCAUCAAUGAGUUUGUAGAACUCCUACUUUCAUAAACUUCAACAAGGCGGUCAAUUUGACCACAAAGUUUUGCAGCACCUCCAAUUUUUUUCCCUUUCUUAUCAACCUUCUUCUUUUGCAAUUCUCCUUGGUUAGCUGCUCUUUUUUUUCCCUUCCUAGUAGCUUGCCUUAGAUCCUGCAUAGUCUCAUUUUCUUCCUCAUCAUCUAAAUCAAUUUGUCCUAUGGAUUCCUCUCGUCUCUGGUUGUAGUACUCCAGAUGAAGGUGCCCAGGCAUGUUCACCCGUAGCAACUGUGUUCGAGAACAUCCUAUCUAACUUUUCCUCUAUCUCAGGACUAAUGCCCUUUUUUCGCAAUUUUCCAUGUUCUUUGUUUAUCUACAAGUAAAGAAAGAAUAUGGCUAAUACAUAUUGCAUGAUAUCAUAAUACAUAUUAAAAGAUAAAUACACAAACUUGAGUUUUAUUAUUCCACCACUCCUCAGAAGCAUCAACGGUACCCUUGCUCGAAUUCCACCCUAGGCCAGUUUCUUUACCAACUAGCUCUUUCCACAAUUUCCACUCAUUUUAAGUGCAUCCCAUUUAUUUUUCAGUUGCUUUCUUUCAUAAUCAUGUCCUGUCUUUGCCUUGAAGUUAGCUCUAAUAUUUGCAUAUCUAUCUUUGUCAAAGUGAGUGCCCGGACGAUGUCCGGCCUCAACCUCCUUGAUGCAUACAUCACAAAAUAUAGAUAUAUUGUGGGCAUUCCAUGUAGCUGUAGGAUUUGACGAAGAUGCCCCCUUCUUUGCCAUUGAUACCAACUAGUGAUUUGUAUAUAUACAUAUAUAUAUAUAUACAUAUAUUAAAACAAGAACAAAUAAUAUUGAUAACCAAGCAGAAAACAGGUAGUAAACCUAACAUAAGCAGAAGCAACUCGCAAUCAUAUAUGUGUGUGUGUGUGUUGGAGGUUUUCAAUGAUAAUCAUGAUUCAGCCAUUCCCUUUGAUAUACCGAAUAAACAUAUAAUGCAUCUAGCAUAUGCAUGAAAAAGAAUAUAGAUGCAGUGAAUUCGUAGUUGUUGCUCAGUCACAAUUGCCAUUGGAUAACCCAUGUGAAAAAACAAACCCACAUUGCCGGAAACAAGUAAUACUUGUGAGUAACAGCAAGCAGAAACAAAUAAUGACUUUGCUAACGCUGCCUGCUAUAAAAUCAAAGGCAUGCCCCCACAAAACUUAAAGAGUAAUUGUCAGCUGCUACCUGCAACUAUAUAUAUGCAAUCAGCUAAACUAACAAUGGAAUGAAGAGGUGCUCAAAAGGAUCAAACUUUCAGAAACCACAAUUGAACCCCAAAAAGUGGGAAGCUUUAACUCUCCACUCCUAAAAAACACCCACACAAAAGACUGCUCAACAACAUUUCAUAUCGGCACACACAGAGGAAUGAAAAGGAGAAAAUCUCAAAUUUAAAGAUAACCCAUGUGAAAAAACAAACCCACAUUGCAGGAAACAGGUAGUGUGUUUAAGAAACAAACAAACAAACAAACAAAGUACAUAAACAAAAAUUAAACCCUAAGAACUGAAAUUGCUUCAUGGAUCUCAUGAUAAUAAUUAGAACCUUAAUUCAAACCCCAAAACUGAAAUUUAGAGAAUUAAUUCAAACCCCAAAACUGAAAAUUAGAACAUUAAUUCAAACACCAAAACUGAAAUUGCUUCAACGAUGGAAGAGAGAGAGAGAGAGAGAGGGAGAGGGAGAGAGAGAGUUAUGUUUACCUAAUCAAUGAGAUCGAGCUCGUUCGUUGGUUGCCAAAUAAACCCUGUUUCAGAAAACCCCAAAAAAAUCGGUUCAUCAUCCAUGUUAGCUGCUAGAACCAAACCCUGAAUUAAAAUUAAACUACAAAAAUAGAAGCAAACUGGAGAGAGCAGCCAAACCCUAACCUAAAAAUUAAAUUAAUUCGAGUACCUGCUACCUGGAAGGCGACGGCGGUGUGGCGCUGAGACCGACGGAGAGAGAGGAAAAUGAGGAGUUGUGCAGCAGCAGGAGGGAAGAGGGGCGUGCGGAGUGUUUUGAGGAAUCAGGAGAAAGGAGGGGGCAGUAUUGGCAAAUUAGAACAAUUCAUUAACAAAGUACUGUAGCUCCAUGUUUUGUAUAAUAAGCCGCUUCUUGAAGCUGCUUCUUGCAGCUUCCACUUUUUGGCAUUUUUUCAUCUGAAAUUUUGAAAUAAAGCUAUUUUGGGAUGUUUACCAAACACCAAAAAUCUUCCAACUUUUUUUCAUACCAGUUUUUUUUUAAAUCACCUUAACGCUAAACCGGGCUAAAUCUAUGGAAAAUGGCGCAGUUGCUAGUUCUAUGUCAGCAAGCUCAAAACCGUAUCUUGCAAAUGGAGCAUGUUGCAGCUCAAAACUUCAUUUCCAGCCUUGCAGCAAUGACAUUAAAUUUAUUUCGUCAGUUUGACAGUUUCGUUUUUUUUGGUUUUGCCGAUAUUUUGCUUAAUUUUUUUUUCAUGUGAGUCAUCAAUCAUUUUUUUCCUUUACUUUAAAAUGACAUACCUAUUAUUUAUCUUGUCCACACUUGGACCAUUUGUGGACAUCCAGGAGAUCAAGAUGUGGACGAGCCAUGUGGCUAGAUGUCGAAGACUCUAUGACAAAGCUCAUGACUAUCAUAUUAAUUCGAUUUCAAAUAACAGGUACAUCUUUUUUUUUCAAUGGAAUAUGCCUUCACCUUUUCAUCUAUUUUUAAUCUUGUUUGUGUAGUGUCAGUGUUUGCCUUGAUGCUUGUGCUCCUAUUUGAAAAUUCUAUUAUUUUAUUACCUUAUCAUGGAGGAGCCAAUUGUGUAGUUGUCGGACUUCCCCCACCCCCAAAAGAAAAAAAAAAACCAGUUUCUGUAGCACACGGUGACACUAAAGAACAAUUUAUGUCACUAGAUGAAAAAGAUUUAUCUUCGAUGUCGAGUCUUGCUUAUAUGUAUUAGGCAGUAUAUUCUUUGGUAUUAUUGCAUGGAUAUAAUCUAACAAGGUUUCCAUCUUCUGGUCACUAAUAAUGUAGCUAUCUUUUGGUUUUGCAGCGGUGGUGAAAUUUUUUUAUCAGCUGAUGACCUUCGAAUUAAUCUUUGGAACCUAGAGAUUAGCAAUCAAAGUUUUAAUAUUGUUGACAUGAAGCCGGUAAACAUGGAGGAUCCAACUGGUAGAACCCACAACACUAUGAUGACAAUUGCUUACUUUCCUAGCUUUUAACUAUCAUUUGAAGAGAAAUGGUAGUAGACAUAACCUUGACCCAAUUAUUUGGAUAAUGUUUGCCGGCUUCCAAGGCUCCUGGUCUUCCAUUCAGUCAUAUUCUGGAUAAUGUUUCAUUAAAUGGCAUGCUCUUAUGUCUUUCUUAGAUUUCAUCUGUUCUAUUUACUUUGAUCUCCCUUUCAUUAGGUUUGGAUUGCUGAAAUGUUCUCGCCAUGUAGUAAACUUGAAUUAUGCCUUAUUUAUAUGCUUUGUUUGUCAAACAGCUCCACAUGUGUAAUUAUUUAUCCUUACAUGCUUGCAAUUUAUGUGCAGAGGCGAUAACAUCCGCAGAAUUUCACCCUACUCAUUGUAACAUGUUGGCGUACAGUAGCACAAACGGCUCAAUUCGUCUUAUCGAUCUGCGGCAGUCAGCUUUAUGUGACACUCAUUGCAAAUUGUGAGUCAUCUUUCAUUCUUCCUUCCUUCCAUUCUUGCACUCAUCAAAGAUGAUUUAGUAUUAUAAUAAAAUAAAUGUAUGAGAAAUCUUUCUGACACUUUUGCUGUCUUUAAUUUUCUUGGUUUGCUUUGAAUCGUAAUUAUGAUUUGUAACGGUGCAGGUUUGAAGAACAAGAAGUGCCCGGCUCAAGAUCUUUUUUCACUGAAUUACUAGCAUCAAUUUCAGAUAUUAAGUUUGCUCAGAACGGAAGACAUAUACUAAGUCGGGAUUACAUGACUCUUAAGGUUCAUAUAGUCAUACUCUUAUAAUAAGAUGGUUCAUACUUCCAAUAUUUAGAAACUUCAGUAUCAUUUGUCCUAGAAACAAAGUUGCAAGUAACAAACACUUAAAAACCUUAUUUUCCCUCCCUCCCUCCCUUCCUUCCAGUGGAUUGGUGACACGGGCAAUGCCCUCUAUGGAUGCCACCCCUCAACAUCUCACUGUUUCUGUCGUCCCUCCUUCCCUUCCUUUCAGUGGAUUGGUGACAUGGGUGAUGCCCUCUAUGGGUGCCACCCCUCAAUAUCUCACUGUUUCUGUUGAUUCCUCGGCUAAAAUAUUCCUUCCUUCCAUUGGAUUGGUGACAUGGCCAAUGUCCUCUAUGGGUGCCCUCAAUAUCUCACUGUUUGUGCCAUCCCUCUUUCCCUGCCUUCCUUACAGUGGACUGGUGACGUGGGCAGUGCCCUCUAUGGGUGCAGCCCCCAAUAUCUCACUGUUUCUGUUGCUUCCUCAGCUAAAAUAUGCUAAUGUUGUUACUGUGAUGUUUAGAGUUAGUACGUGAUAUCAUGAUUUUCAAUUUUGUGCUUGUGGUGAGUUUGGGCAUUGCAACUACUUCUUGUCUUCAGAUUUCUCUGAUUCUUAACCCUGUCCGUUACAAUUUUUGUUCUCACCUUUUCUUUUUGGGGUUUCUCAGUUAUGGGACAUCAACAUGGAUUCUGGCCCAGUUGCCACUUUCCAGGUUCAUGAACAUCUAAGACCAAAGGUAAUAUGUUCCUUCAAAAAGUUUGUUUGAUCACAUGUGAUCUUAAAAGAAGACGAGACCAAUUAAGUAAUACCAUACAAUGCAACUUAUUAAGUUCUUUACCUUUCUCAGCUCUGUGAUUUAUACGAAAAUGAUUCUAUCUUCGAUAAGUUUGAGUGCUGUCUAAGUGGAGAUGGACACCGAGUGGCAACAGGUUCUUACAGGUUAGACUUACACCAUACACAUCCUUUGAUGCUUUUGUACUUACUCCCUGACCUAAGUAGUGUGGGACUCAACGUAUGAAGAAACACAUUUCUGUGAUUCCAGCAAUCUGUUUCGAGUGUUUGGUUGUUCUGAAGGGAGCACAGAAGCAACAACAUUGGAGGCCAGCAAAAACCCCCUGAGGUAUCUUUUUUAAAUUCUAUAUAUGCUCGUCAGGCAUGCUAUUGUUAGGGCAUAGUAUCAUUUUGGUCCAAGAAAAACUCUUGUUUAUUUUCUUUUGUUCUCUUGGUCAAAUGUGCUUAUAAUUUUUCUCAUGAACUUCCAGGAGACAAGUUCAAACGCCUGCAAGGCCUUCUAGAUCUUUGGGCAACCUUCGUCGUGUUCUCAGGCGAGGUAUGUGCUUCCAUUGUAACAUAAAAGGUGCGGAUAACUCUGGAGCUGAUCCGGAUAACUCUGGAGCUGAUGCAAACGGAAAUUCUUUUGACUUCACAACAAAGUUGCUACAUCUUGCAUGGCACCCUUCUGAGGAUUUAAUAGCCUGUGCUGCUUCAGACACCCUAUACAUGUAUUAUGCGUCAAAGUAAUACGGAAAGUUGUCUGUCUUGGCCGGCAAAGCUCUUCCGAUUUCUAUUGACAAAAGGUUGCUUGCCUUCUUCUCCGGUUAGUGAUGUUAGCUGCGCCCUACCUAACUACAAAAUUUUUGCUGAUGUCAACAUUUUCAAGAAGAAAGUAGUAUCUGCCCCUCCCAUACAGGCGAUACCUUGCUGUUUAUGGUAACUCGUAAGGAGAAUACUGUAGUCCUAAUUGUGUCUUUUUAGUUGAAGAGAUGUGAUAUUAGCUCAUCAGCCUACCGAAAAAAUACCUUUGCUGCCACAGUAGAAACCAAUUGGGUCCUAUAUCCUGAAGCGGGGAGAAGCUGUAGUGGGCCUUGACUUGAACCUUGUAUUAUUUGAAGUAAAGUUAAAAGGGUUUGUGAAAUUUUUAUCACUGUUUUUAUUCUAACCAUUAUUUCCCCCUCUUUCAGAGUCUGCUGAUUUUCUUUGUUUAGCCAGUAUUGGUUCCUUUGGAGAGUUUCACUCGGAAUCAAAGAUUUGUCGGUCUUAAUUCAUCUGGUUAUCUGGUGUUUAUUGUUUUAGGUAAAUGUUUUUGGUGUAGGCAAACUGAUCAUCUCUAUAUUGUACGAGGUUCGGUCACAAUAUCGAAGCAUAUGGACUAGUUUUGGUGAAUUAGGUGCUUCCUUCGUUUAGUUUGUGCUGGCAUUAGUAUAGCCUUUGGGGGCUAGGAACUGUAGCAAACUUUUCUCUUGUUCUUAAACCACUAUUUUAUCAAGCAUAUGUGAACUUUUCCUCUUUUUGUUUAUGUUUUCCAAACCCUUGUGAAUUGAUUUGGAAAAUUGGGGUUAGUAGCCCUUUUUCAAACCCACCAACCAAAAAUCGAAAUGCCCUCUUUGAUGAAAAUACUCAUUACCGACGCAAUAUUGGUAGAUUAUUGACUCAAUCUUAGGGUAUUUUCGUCAAAGAGGACAAGUAGAGAUUGCAUUCUUUGAGGAGGGCUAGUUUUGGUUAGUGUAUUGAGUACAGAUCCUCUCCGGAUAUAAAAAAAGGGAGCCUAAGGAUCAAAUGAUUUGGUCCGUUAAAAUUUGAUCUAACGGCUACAAAUAAGGGAUCCUCUAACGGUUAUAAUAAUUGUAACCGUUGGAUCAAAUUUCAAUGGCCCGGAUCAUUUAAUCCUUAGGUUCCGUUUUUUUUAGAUCCGGAGAUGAUACCCUAGUGUAUUUGUAAAAGGCUUGUAAGCCCGAUUUCCCAUUCAUUUUUUAUAUACUGUGCAUAAUUUUCACAAAUUUACUGCGUUGAAGUCUUUCCUAUGUGGUAUGGUAAUUUUUGUUGUAUCACGUGAGUAGCUCGCUGUGAGAAUUCGUUUCAUGCAACUGAUCACAUUUGUUGUAUUACGUGAGUAGCACAGUUUGUGAGAGAUUCAUUUCGUGUAACAGAUUCUACUUAUUGUAUUACGUGAGUAGUACAAUUUGUGAAAGAUUUGUGUCGUACAACGGAUGCAUGAAAGUGGUUCUCCCACAUCAUAAAGGUGAAGCUUUUACUAUGAGAUGGACGUUAGGCACGGCGGUGGACCUUUGUUUGAUGGUCUCAAUUUUGCCACAUUGGCAGCUUAAAAGUUUAUAAACAGCUGAGUAGCAACUCAAGUCGUGAUAGUUUAAGUCGGUUUCAUGUACCCUUUAACUAGUAUUUGAUGAACAUCACGUGAAAACCAUAAAUUAGCUAUGCCCUCUCAAUCUAGUGACUUCUUUUGAUUUGUCCCUUCGACUCUUAAAAUGUGCAAAUUUGCCAAUUAGUUUUUUUUUUUUCAAAUUUAUUACAUUUUUGUUAGUUCUCUUUCUAUUAAAUUGAUGAAAAUGAUUCUAAAUUUAACGGAAUAAUUUCAUAAUUGAUAGUAAAAGCGAAUUAGCACGUUCUAAAAUAUUAGAACCAAAUUAAAAGCUCAACGGACAAAAUUUGUACCCAAAUUAAAAGUUCAGUAGGCAAACUGGAAUAAGUAAUAUUUCCGAGGUAAUGUUGAAUGGUGGUUCUAUUUACUCGUUAUUUUUUACUUCUCACACACUUUUUCAUUUUCGAUCGUUGAAUCAAAUGAAUUGAAGAAUAUCAAAUAAUAUAAAUGAACAAAUGAUGGGUUGGAAGUAAAAAUAAGUUGUGCGAUAGCGCAUCUCUGAUAUUAAAAAAGGAUUGCAAAAUCUCAUGAAAAUCCAAAAUAUAGAAGUCCAAAAAGGGGUAAACGUAAAAUCCCAAUUAGCAACCUAAAAAAUAGACUAAUCCUAAGAAAAUUAGAAAUUGUCCUUCACUCCCAGAUGCAAAACUGACACGGAGAAAACAGCUUCAGGCUAAAUAUUUCAGCUUUCCCCAAAACUCUCCUCCCUCUCUCUCUCUCUCUCUCUCUCUGCUCCUCCGAAGCUCCACGGUCAUGGCUCUGCUGACCCGAGCCCGCAUCCCUCUCCAGCUCUCGGCCCAGCGGGCCCUCUCUCUCCACACCACCGUCCCCUCCCUCUCGUCCUCCGCCCCCUCCGGCUCCACUCCCGCCACCUAUGCCCGCCCUCCUCCCCCUUCCGCCUCCCCGCCCCCUCCUGGCCUCUCUAAGGCCGCCGAGUUCGUGAUCUCGAAGGUCGACGAUCUCAUGAACUGGGCCCGCCGCGGCUCCAUCUGGCCAAUGACCUUCGGCCUCGCCUGCUGCGCCGUCGAGAUGAUGCACACCGGAGCUGCCCGCUACGAUUUGGACCGAUUCGGCAUCAUUUUCCGGCCCAGUCCUCGCCAGUCCGAUUGCAUGAUCGUCGCCGGCACUCUCACCAACAAGAUGGCACCCGCUCUCCGCAAGUAAGCAACAACCCCUUCCUUCCCUCUCAAUUUUCUGAAUCUCAGUUUUAGGGUUUCUGGAUUUUUGAGCUUAGAAAAUGUUUUGGUGAUAAUUAGAUUUGUAUUUACCUAAUGUAAUCUCAAAUUGGAACAAUUGGGGGCUUUGAUUAAGCUCAAUUUUAAGGAAAUCUCCGAUUAAAUGGGAAUAACAUGUACACCCUUCUCCUCCAGUUCGUUAUUAGGACUUAGGAUAUGCAUUUUGCCAAUGAAAGUGCUGGUUAUGGUGAUUAGCCAAGUUCAUUAGAGCAGUAUGCUCCCGCUCCCAUCAAGUUCGACCCCCCUCUAGUUUAGAUUAUAGACAAGAUUAUCGCUCGAAUAUAAAAGGGAAUUGUUAUUAGCACUCCAAAAAUCUCAUUUGGCACUCCAAACAUUCUAUAAUUAGAAAGAAAAAUACACUUGUGAGGAGUGUAGAAUGAGAUUUUUGGAGUGUUAAUAACAAUUCCCAUAUAAAAAAUGUAUUAGCUAUUGAAUAACAAAAUCUAGUUCCAAGGGGGUUGUAGCUCAAAUAGUUAAGAGGAUUGUGUCUUUCAAUGCAUGGGAUUUGCCCUCCACAAUAUCGCUUGUAUCGAAGAAAAAACUACUGUGUUGUGUCUUUUGAUGGAUGUGAUUUCUUAGGAAUUUCUUUUGGAAAGUGCAUAAUUGCCUUUGAUUUUGGGAGUUAAAAGCUCCUCGCCAACCUUUCAGUCUAGGCAUUUUUGUAAUGUUUGCACAAGUAAACAAAGAGGUAUGAAUUGUUUUGAUCUUUAUGCUAAAUUUUGUUGCAGGGUUUAUGACCAAAUGCCUGAGCCGAGAUGGGUCAUCUCCAUGGGAAGCUGUGCAAAUGGAGGUGGUUACUACCAUUACUCCUAUUCUGUUGUUAGGGGUUGUGACAGGAUCGUACCCGUUGAUAUCUAUGUUCCAGGCUGCCCUCCCACCGCCGAAGCCCUACUCUAUGGCCUUCUCCAGCUGCAGAAGAAAAUCAACCGGCGCAAGGAUUUCCUCCUUUGGUGGACCAAGUGAGGACCUUCAUCUUUUUUUUGGGGGGCUGCUUUUGCUAUAUUUAUCCAAUAAUAAGUCUAUCAGGGGAGGUUUGCCCUGGCAAAGCACCAUGUAAAGGGAGAGAUUUUGCAUUUACGUGUUAUAAAUUUUAGAUCCCAGGGUGUCCUGUAUUGUGCUUUCUGCAUAUUUCCGUCGUUUUGGAGCUAUAAUAGUAGCCACAGAUUCUGUAAAACUUUUUUCUGUUUCAAUCUGGGUGCUUGAACUAAUCUCCCAUGUUUAGCUACUUGUUUGAUUGAUUGUUGGAAGCUGCUUAUACUUUUUGUUUAACCCGGGAUUAAGUAAUGUAGCCGUGUUUUUCGUAAACCCUUUAGUUUGUGAUUUCAGUUUCGUAGUCAUAUUAUUGUUGGAAAUCUUCUUGUCUGAGACUGGUCCAAGGGUUCUAGGACUCGACUCGGAGGUCAGGUGUUGAAGACACAACCCGGUCACCUAGGUGCCCGAGGACUUCAACGUGCGGGACAUGAACCCCAUCUCCCGAACCCAAAUGCCGGGGAUUGGGACCUCUGGAAGCUUGGGACUCAAAUCUGGGACCUUUCGAUGCAUGAGAUUUGGACUCAGAAUCUCCGUGUUUGGUAGCCCCAAUCAUACGAUCAUUUUGGCUUGUUUAUUAAGAAGGGUAAAACAUAGCUUAGUAUUAUCAUGUCCAAUUCAAUCUUAACCUCCUGAUCAAGUCCAAUCCCAUUCAACAAACAGGACAUUAUGGAUUAUCAAUCCUCCCGGCAUGUAGUGCUAUAUCUUAAUAAGUAGGGUGUUGAAUUUCUACUAAUGCAUCUCGAAUUUGAAACUCUCCUCUAAUUAAUGUAAUAGUUUCAAACUUUCACCUCCUCUUAAUAAUAGUAAAAUUUAAAAAAUAAAAAGAUAAGCAUUACAAAACUCAACAUUAACUUUUGCUUCUCCGAAUGAUCGUGCUUAUUGCUUAGAUUAUUUUAUUCGGUAUUCGCGCUAGUUAAAACGUAAAUCUUAUAUGAUGUUCUCGUCACAUACAAAUAAACAUAAUGGUAUGUAACAGUCUAUAUAAUCGUGUAAUAUGAGAAUUAUUCUCUGAUAAACUUUUUUUACAUUUUACUUACAAAUAGAAAAAUAAAACUAAUUGACCAAAAGAACGGGUAUAAAACCCCACAAAUUCUUUUCACUUUUACAGUUUUACCACUCGCUUUCCGUCCGGUAAAAUUAAGAGACCCUUAUUCCCGUACGCAAGCAAAGGUGUUUGGCCAAAAAAAGGAGUGUUACAAAACUAAUAAUGUUCAUUUUUUAACGCUAAAAUAUUUUUAUUCUAAAACAUCAUUUUUAAUCUUACAAACAAUAAUUUUUUUUAUACUUUGAUUAAAACUCAAAAGUUUUUAAAUUUUUUUCAUUAAUUUUUUUAAGAAAAUAUCCUUACGUAUAAAUAUCCAACCGGUGUUUUUCCACCUCACCCUAUCCCUCACUCCUCUCUCUCCUCUCUCUCUCUCUCUCUCUCUCUCUCUCUCUCUCUUCUAGGGUUUCUACGACAAUGGCCGACGAAGCCCAAUACUCAUCCGGUCCUGAUUCAGGGAACAAGCGGAAGUACGAGGAGCAAACGCCGCCGUCCACUCGCAGAGUCACCGGUUUCUCGGCCCCCAUCAAGUCAUCGUCCCCCGACUCUGUGCCGACGUCGUACAGCAGCGUUCCUCCGCCCAUGGAAGAUUUCCAGCUGGCCAAGCAGAAGGCGCAGGAGAUCGCCGCUCGGUUGUUGAACGGCGGCGAUGCUAAGCGUGCUAGGGUUGAGAAUGGUGGUUCCGACUCUUUUGACAAGGGCUUUAGCUCUGGUCCGCCAGGUUCGCCUUCCAUCUUUUGAGUUUUGCGUUUUCUAUUAAAUUUUUACUCUCUUUUUAUUUAAUUUUUAUUCUUUUUAUUAUAUUGUUAGGGUUUUGGUUAGUUUUUUAAUAUGCUUGACAUCCAAGAAUUUGAUUGGGUUUAGUGUUUUAGGGUGAUGCGGAGUUGCUAUUUUUGUUUUGAUUGUACAUGUUUAUGCCUAGAAUGUGAACAUCGAUGCAACAUUUGUAAUUUUGGUUUUGUGAAAAUGAUACAGAUCCAAAGCCUCACUUCUCAAACCCAGCUCCUUCGUCGAUCCCUGUAUCUUAUGGUGGGUUCGUGGGACCAAGCAAAAAGAUUGAGGUUCCCAAUGGCAGGGUUGGUGUCAUAAUUGGUAAAGGUGGGGAGACUAUCAAGUAUCUACAGACUCAGUCAGGCGCUAAGAUUCAAGUUACCCGAGAUUCUGAUGCAGACCUCAAUUUUCCAACUAGGAUGGUGGAGCUCAUGGGUACUCCGGAGCAGAUUGCGAAGGCCGAGCACUUGAUAAAUGAUGUUCUUGCUGAGGUUCGGCUUGUGCAUUAAUUUUUUAGAUGAGUUUUAUCAUCUGCUUGUGAUAUAUUAAAACAAGUUUACACAUUUGAGUUUAAAAUCCUCCACGUUGUGAUCCUUUUUGUUAAUUUUGAGAUAGUUGAGUUUUAUCAAAUUGGUAAAUAUGGCUUACACAUAUAAGCUCUUAUGUUUGUGCCAGGCUGAAUCAGGAGGUCCUGCUGUAGCUUCUCGAAGGUUAACUGUACAUACCGGUGGUGAACAAUAUGUUACGAAAAUUCCUAACAACAAGGUACAGACUACAUAGUUUUUAUAUAUUUAGCUACGUGUUCUGGUGAUUUAGUUAUUGAGGAUUCGUGACUAUGUAAUCUCAGGUUGGGCUUGUAAUUGGUAAAGGAGGUGAAACAAUAAAAAGUAUGCAAGCUAGGUCUGGAGCUCGUAUCCAGGUUUGUUUUCAAUCUUGGGCAGAAUAUUGGUCUUUUGUAUGGUUUUUUAUUUGUUUUCUUUUGGAACUCUAUGUAUUCUUCUAUCAUUUUUCUUGAUACACGUUGUACACAUAACUUUUCUGGUCUAUUGGUUUGAGUAACGUAUAUGGGUGGAAUCAAAUACAAGAAAUGGUUUUAUGAGCUGACAUUUUAUUUUUUUAGGUUAUUCCCUUGCAUCUGCCACCUGGUGACCCAUCAACAGAAAGGACGCUACAGAUUGAUGGUACUACUGAACAAAUUGAAGCUGCAAAACAGUUGGUAGCUGAAGUUAUCAGUGAGGUAGGUUUUAUUGGUGUUUGCCUUAAAAUUUGGCUUGUAAGCCUCUCUGAUAUAUUUAGUAGUCAGAAGUUGUUAGCUUCAGGAGGGGUAGGCUACAAUAGAUGUGAUUCUCUAGGUUGUAUAGUUUUGCAUGGCCAUUUGAACUUCUGUUUUCUGUCAAUGUAUUUAAUUUGCACAUGACUACUUUCUGCAAUCAGAUUUUGGGUUUUUUUUGUUGAUAUGUUGAGGCUCCCUGUUGUAGCGAUGUUACUUAUUUUGUGUAUUCAUACUGUUCAUAUUGCUUGCUCAAAUUAGGUUAACCAACCUGGUUGCUAGGUUUAUCUUUUUGCAUUUUGCUUUGGUAUUAAUUUUUUUCCUUGCAGGGCUUUGUGUAUGUUUUUUUAAUUUUAAAUUUUGAGCUCAAUUAAUCCGUACCAUUUUCUGAUAAGCCCUCGGACAGUUUUAUCUCUUGAUAUUGUUAAACAUUUUCCCUGAUAAUGAGUUCGUCUCUUUUUUAUUUUCAUUUUGCAUUUUAUGUUUUGCAUGAUGCUACAUUUCUGUCUCUAAAUUGAGUUUCUCUACCUUUUCGUUCUCUUUAUUUUAUGGAUUUGACUUUUAUGCUGGUUAGUUGCAUUUACAUUGUACAAUUGUUCUAGGUAUGUAUUUUGUAGUCUAUCUGGUUGUGCAAUUUUUCCACUGUGUCAUGUAAGGUGUAGAUACUAAUUCCAGUCGAACUAUUGCUGACUUUAUAUUUUCGGCCAAUGGUGGACCACAGUAUCCCUAAUGUUGUACUGGUUAGUGGUUACGGCACUUGGUAUUUUGAAUAUGUUCAUGACCCAAAUAUUAUGAUUUUAUGAGGAUUGGAUAAGUUUGUAUGGUUCUCAAUUGUCUUUUUUGGCUUUAGAUCUUAUUAAUUCAGAUUUUUUUUUGUGCUGAUCUUUUUGCCAUGCACAGUGUAGCUGGCAGAGAUUGAGUCUAACAUGUCAAGUGAACACUGGAAGGAGCCUCUUUAUGCAAGUAUUUAUUCUUUGGGUUUUGUAGCAUUUGCUGGGAUCUGGUUUCAACUUAAGAAACUGGUUGGCACGAUUUCACCUCUGCGAAAUCCAUUUAGAUGUCAUAUAGAUUUAGCUUUAAUUGUAUAAACCUGCAGGGUCAUCUGAAUUGUUAUCAUAAAUGGAUGCAAUAAGUUUCUUCUUCCCAUAUGAUUGAUGCAGAUAUUGGCUUAUUUGACCUUUAAGAUUGAACAAAUAUUUGGAGGAGUGAUUACAACACAUUGGGCUGUUCUUGGCCAUAUGCACUUAUUGGGAAUUUAGUUUACGGGAGUUCAUAUUACAGGUUUAGGUUAUUAAGUUACAUUAAAGUUUCAUUAACUCUCAUAAUGUUUAACAUUACGAUUAUUGGUUCAUUAAGUGAAAAAUUAUUGGGACAACAGCUUGAUCUACCAUCAAUAUACUUAUUUCUCUUAUAUCAUAUAACUGAUUCUUAUUGGGAAUUAUUGUAGGGUUAGUUUGUAUUGGACUGUUGGUGACACCAACACGGAAUCCUUUGUGUUGGUGAAUCCUUUGUGUUGGUGUUCCCUUAGCAUCACUCUGGUAUGGUUCUAAAUCCUGUUUUCUGGUAUUUAGUAAUGAUAUUGCGGAGUGAAGCCUUCUGUUGGAGGGAUUGAAGGUUAAUAGCAUAACUCCUAGAAAAUUUGAACCAUUUUAUUCUAAAUACAUUAAUUAGUUGUGAAUUAGUAUAAUGUUGGAAUAAUGGACUUUAUGUCAUAGCUUUUCUAUUGAGUAUUUUUUAUUUUGUCAUAAUUAUGUGGUGCUUUGCUGUGUUGAAGCCUCUUAUCAAAUUAUUAUCUUGGUAUUAUUUUACAAGUAUAUAUACUGUUUAUUCUGUAGUGUUUUUAAAAUGUUUUAUAGCUUUAUCUUUGUGAGAAUUUCUGUGAAUCUUUUGUCAAGAUAUUGAACAGUUUUGGUUGGCUUCCAUAAAAUUUGUUUUCCUGUCUUCUGCUGGAAUUAAUAUCUGAGUACCAGUUUAUUGAAGGCCAGCUUAUUUUUGCUGAACUUGAAUUUUAUGAUCAGUCAGCCUCACCUGCUUUCUGUUUAUUUCUCCAUUCUUUUUCCUGUUUAUAUGCUUUCGUUUUUUAUUCUAUAUUAUAGCUUAUUUCUUAUAAGGAGUAUUUUCUUAAUUUUUUAUUAGAGUACAAAUAUUGAGGGUCCUUCAUCCUAAUUGUUCAGAACCUCUUGUCCCUUUUCUUGCUAUAUUUCUGUUCUUUUUAUUAAAUCCUGGAGAGAUUCUUGCUGCUUAUUUGGGAUAUUAUUAGGCCAAUAAUGAUUCAGCUACACACUUGCGGGAGGAUCCAAGGGUCUUUUUAUGCUAGCAUCUAAGAUGAUCUAUGAACUAAUGUCCCUGGUUGACAUAACAGGUUUUCUGUACUGAUGAUUUACUUUUUUCGCAUAAGCUUAGAUACCUUUUGUUUGGAAUUUACUGAUCAUACCACAUCUGGUAGCCCAUUUGUGAUGUAUUAGUGCAUGGACAAUGUCUUCUGGUCUGAAAUUCUUUCUUAGAUGUCUAAUUAUCGGUCUCUUAUAUUAUGUUUAAUUAAUACCUAUGCAUACUUUGAUAUUUGGUAAUGUUUUACUGUGUGCAUUUUGCACUUGUUUUUAUGACUGUCUAUCGUCACAAUUAAGGCUAUAUGGAAGUUUGUUUUUACAUAAAAGCUUCUAUAUAGUGUUUUGUUAUUUUCCGAACCCAUUCACUUCAAAUAGGGAGAGUGUGGACCUCUGCUGGAGUAACUCAAUUUAUACAACCACUGGUACGGUAUGUAGGCGUUUACACCUCUUCCCAAUAUAAUAAUGAAAUCCAUUAAUCACUAUAUGAAUGUAUUUGUUUUUCCGAUCUGUUAUGUCUGUUGAAUCAUAGAAAUUUUCUUUUAUACAUGUUUUCCAAUGUUUGCUUUUGUACAUUCUGUGUUUUUUUGUUCCUCCAUAUGUCCCAACAUCAUGGGAAGUACACCAUGGUUAUUUGUGAGAAUAAUUUUAUUGCAGAACCGUGUUAGAAAUCCAGCAACGUCUGGAGGAUACUCUCAGCAAGGUUAUCAAGCACGACCACCCUCAGGAUGGGCUCCUUCUGGUCCCUCAAUGCAACAACCUAGUUAUGGAUACGGACAGUCUGGAGGGUAUUCUGCCCCACCACAUCAGUAUAAUGCGUCUCAGCCUUCUUACCCAGGCUAUCCUCCUCAACCAACAUCUGGUGGCUAUCCGUCCAGUUGGGACCAGUCGGCUGCUGCUCCAACUCAGCAGACGUCCCAGGGUGGUGGUUAUGAUUACUAUGGCCAGCAACAACCUUCACAUCAACAGCAAAAUCCUGGAGGUCCUGCUGCUCCUGCUGAUGGUGCUGGUUACAAUUAUGGCCCGCCGCCAGUUUCAGGCUAUAAUCAACAAGGACAAGGGUAUGCUCAAGGAUAUCCUGCACCACCUCAAUCUGGGUAUGGUCAGCCACCGGCAUAUGAUCAACAGCAGGGUUAUUCUGCAGCAGGCUAUGGUAAUGUGAGUAACCCACCUCAAGAUGGGCAUACACCCUCUUAUGGAUCUCAGGGGGAUUCAGCUCAGGCGCCUCCUGCUCAGCAAGGAUACAAUGCCGGUCAACAGCCUAGCCCUAACCCUGCUGGUUAUCCACCCCAAGGUUCUACUCAGCCAGGUUAUGGAGCACCCCCAACUUCUCAAACUGGUUAUGGAAGCCAACCACCGGCUCAGCCUGCAUAUGGAGCUGGAUAUGGAGCACCACCAGCACAAAAGCCUCCUGCAAAUCCUGCAGUUUAUGGGCAAACUGCUCAAUCCCCCAGCACUCCAGGAGGCUAUGGCCAGCCAGCUCCUGUGCAGCCAGGAUACCCGCAUUCUCAGCCUCCAGCUUCUGGAUAUGCUCAGCCAGAUCCUGUUACCCGUCCCCCUACAUCUGGCUAUGGUGCUGCAGCACCACAGACCGGGUAUGGGCCUCCAUCCUAUGGCGCACCACCAGCUGGCCAGCCAGGAUAUGGGCAGGUGCCACCACCCUACAACGCAUCUUAUGGUGCUGGAUAUGCACAACCUCCUCCUUACUCUGCUGAUACCAGCACAAAUGGGAACGCUCGUGUGACCUAUGAUGCUCCGCCACCUGCUUCACAGACUGCUCCCCCAAGUGGAGUUGCCAAAACUUCCCCUCAGAGUUGAUGCGUUAUGGCGUUUUGGGUACUUGGUGAUGUUUCAUUGUAUUUUCUGUAGUAGUAACGCUAGUGAGGUUAGUAUUUGGUGAACAUUGUACUUAUGUUUUCGGUAUUUCGGAUUUCAGGGGAUUUGGUAAUUGCAAGAACUUGUUGGAUGUAUUGAUAUCUAUCCAAAUUCUCUUUCUUUGUUUCCGUUCGUCCCUUAUUUGCUUAUUGAUGUUCUUACAAGGGAGAUUUAAAUACAAUUGAGUCUCAACAAAAAAAAUGUGAAAAUACAAGUCUAAAUGAACCCAAAACCCUAAAAACAUAUUUAUUUUGACGUGUGAACUUGUUUUUUUAUUUUCAGGAACGAUUUUGAUUGACCUAAUUUUAAGGGAUGAUCCGAACUUGAGUAUGGUAAUCAAUUUUGCAGAUAUUUUAAUACGACUGUAAGCUUCUUAAAAUUAAAGAACAUUACAUUAUGUGCUUCAGUGGACAAAUAGUGUUCGAUUAUAUUUUCGGUGUCUAGUACUAGAAUUAAAAUUUGAUUAAGCAUACAUAUAUUACUCAAUAAAUGAUAGGACCGUACAACAUUUACCCUACUACCGCAUAUGUAAAUUAAAUCUUGAAAAACCACGUACUUAUGAGUCGGGUAGUCCGAUUUCAUCCUAUAUUAUAAUAUAGGGAGUUUUAAUAAAAUACUCCCGGUACUGUUUAUUUUUAACGAAAAAACCAUAUUUUUACCUUUAACUGUCACUAUUCACUAUACCUUUAAAAAAGGUUUUUCGUUAAAAGAGAAGUUUUUUUGAACUUUUUCGUUAAUUUUUCUUAAUAUAAUUGGCUUUAAUGACGUGGAAAUAUCACAUCAAACUUUUCUUGGUGGCUACUCCACCGCUGCAUCCUAAUAAAAACCCUAAUUUCCACUCCCCUCAGCUAAAAAACCAGAGCACUAAGGUAUACAAUCUUAUUUAUUUAUUUAUUAUUAUUAUGAAUUUUCAAUUUAAAAUCUAGGUUUAGUUCUUUUACAUCGGAUUUUGUUUUUACUUUGGAUUAAUUUCCAUUAUGAUAUGUGAUUUAAUUUUGAGAUAAGAGUCAUGAUGCAUUUGAAUAAGAACAAUUAUCUCUGCACUCAAGUUCGGAGUUUGAUUCCCUCUUCCCGCACUAUUGCUUGUAUAUAUAAAAAAAAUAAAGUUACCAUUUUGUGGGGUUAUUUGGAUUUCAGGGACGAGUGAUGGCAUCGAAGGUGUUUCUUCAGUUGCAAGGCAAGGCAACUCAAGCUUCAAGGGUUGUGUCAGAGUACGGAUCUUCCUAUUACAAGCAGGUAUUGGAGAAGAACAGGCAUUACGUUCAGGAGCCUCCCACUGCUGAAAAAUGCAGCCUUUUGUCCAAACACUUGUUCUAUACCCGUCUUGCUAGGUCAGCCGUUUAAUAACUUUCAAUUCUUGCAGACGAAAGUUAGGCCAGUUGGUCAGGAUAGUGUGACGUCAAAAUAUGAUACAUGGAUGCCAUACGGGUAGUCUCUAAUCAUUAUCUUUGUCUCAUGCAGUAUACCGGGGCGGUAUGAAACAUUUCAGAAGGAGCUUGAUUCGGUCAAGCAAACGUGGAAGAACAGGCCGGCGCUGAGGGUGGAGGAUGCCGGAAUAGCUGCCCUGUUCGGCUUAGAAUGCUUCGCCUGGUUUUGUGCCGGUGAGAUGAUAGGUCGAGGAUUCACAUUCACAGGUUACCGCGUUUAGACGCUGCUGAGAUUGUGACCAUGUGAAGUAUCGACGUUCACAUUCUCAUCAGUUGAUUUUGAUUUCCAUAUAUUAUCUUCUUUUCGACAGAUACGAUGAAAAUACGACUUGAAAAAUUAUUUUGAUUUUCAUAUGUUAGCACCCUUUUUAGUACAUACAAUGCUCUGUACUUUUGUUUUACAUCUGAACUGGAAACCUGUAUAGUGGUUAGCGAGGAUGCCGGACUGUCGAGUUUGGGUACCGGCUACAAGGGAGAAAUCGAAAGGAAACUGUCAGUCCGACCGGAGAUGGACGUAAGAAACCAGAAGCAGAUGAUUAUACUCAAAACAGUUAUCGUAAACCAGCUUUACGUGCAAAUCAUAACAUCCAAAACGUACAAAGUAGAAUCUAAGAUAUGCCUCACGAAUCAAAGCAUGUUCACCAAAACAUUAUCAAAAAAUUUACGUUUAGGAAGAAUGGGCUAAAUACAAAACUUAUCUCUUGGAAACUGCAAAGCUUGUUCCGUAUGGAGUUGAGGAUCAAUUGGAAGCGAAUGGGGGAUUCUUCGUGGUGUUCUGACUCGUAAUCUAUUUUCUGUGUAUGUGAAAGCUUAAUACCUUCCUUAAAUCAGGUGGUUCCUGAAAGCCAUGAUCAUUUUCGGGGAGAAGAACAAAACAAAUGCCAAAAAGGAACCAAAGAAUAUCUUGAUAGCGUAUCUCAGGGGGUCGUGAUCGACUACUUCUGAGGUAGUUUGUGGGGUUGACAUGGCUGUUGCAAGUGGUAAGGCUUCUAUUACUGCAUCUGCCAGGUCUGUUAUAAACGAAGGAGUACAACCAAGGGCAGGGACUCGGCCCCAAUUCUCAAUGCCAGAUUCAAGGGCCAAUUCCCUGUACUCCAUAUCAAUUUCUUCAAGAGUCUCUAUGUGCUCGCUCACAAAGCUGGAUAAAAAAAAUUUAGAUGUCAAAUUAACUUACUAUACUUCCGUGAGAGAAAUAACCAAAUAAUGCCCGGGGCCAGAAACAAAGUUAAGUACCUGACUGGAACAGCUAGGAGACUUUUCACGCCUUUCUGGCCAAGCUCAACAAGAACUUCAUCAGUGUAGGGCUUUAGCCAUUGCACAGGACCAACUCGGCUCUGAUCACCACCCGACCCCAAAAUAAGGGAAAGAAAAUCAGAAAACAACAUAAAGAAAGUUGUAGCCAUACGUGAUGGACAACAACUGACGGUAGUUCUGAGAACCAAAAAAGGUAGAAAAGUAAAAUGUAGGACUCAGAAAAUAGAGUUUUAUAACCCACCUGGUAAGCAAGGGUAUGUUCAUUGUUGAUUCCUCUAGAUUUCAGCUCUUUCAUUAUUAAGAAGAUGCACUCCUCCAUUUGAUCUUUGUAAGGAUCUCCGGCAUCCUCCACGUAACUGAGCGGUACUCCGUGGGCACUGAAGAAUAUCAUGACCUGAAUUUCAUACACAAUAAGCAACGCUUACCUGAGCUGUGAAUUUCAUGCAAUAACCGUACAAUGAAAACAUACGUUCAAUAACAAAAUCUAUAAACCAAAAAAAGUGAAAUUUAAUUUCAUCAAAAGAGCCAUUUCUGAUGAAUUUAAAGCAUAUGUUCAAUAGAAGCAUCAAGCGCACCUCUGCAGGCUCAGAAAAACUUUCUAGCUCUUUGGAAAUCAAGUCAGCCAUUGACUUAAGAUAGCCUUCACGUUGAUACCACGAGUUUAUAAUAGAAACAGGCAUCCUUGAUAGGUACGCAUCUUUCCUGCAAGAUGGGCACUCACAUUCAGAAAACUGACCAUUGUAAACAGACAUAAGUAGUUUCAUAAACUGACAGCAAACUAUCACCUGAAAAUAUCCCGGAGCACAGAAACGCUUGAUCCAGUUGUAGAGAUAGAGAACUGAGGGUAUAGAGGCAGGACCACAAGCCUGGUUAUUCUGUCUUUCUUAAUCUGUCACAGAUAAUGUGGAAAACUGUUAGUCAUUUGAUCCAUUCAAUUAGAAGAUGCCCCAUGAUGAGUAACUACAAAUUCAAGACUAACCAAUAUAAACAUUGGGAGACUUUUAGGUUACAAUCUAUUGUCCCAUAUCCUUUACAUUGCCUGGAACCAACGGCAAAUAUAAAAAUAUUACUAAGUUACUGAAAUUUAAGACUCACUUGCUGAACUGCUUCCUCAGUAAACGGGUACCAAUAACGCAUUCCCACAUAAACAUUAACAGGCAAGUCCUUCGAUUCCAGAGUCUUUUUGAGUUCAUUUGCCUGUAACAAGCCACCUACGUAUGAGAAAAUAUAACAAAACGUACCUAACAAACCACCAAAUAUUCUCAAAUGAUACAUUCUUGUAGAAUAUAAUUGAUUUAUUUUUUAUUUUUUGUGCGGUAAGGAAACAGGACAAGAUUAUACAAAUAAAAACUAAAGAAAACAUUUCAACAGGCAUGUUAUGUAUAUUGCUCUACCUGCUCAUCUGUAAUUUUACGCAAUGGUGAACCACCUCCUAUAGCAGCAUAACCUUCUUUGCUUUUUGGGGCUCGAAGCACAGAAAUUAAUUUCGCCAAUGGUUGCUGGAGAAACCGAAACAACCUUGGGAGGCGAAUGAUAUCCUGUCUCCCACAACACGUGAAUAUGUUAGUAAUGAGUGCAUUAAGUGAAUAACUCAUGCUGACACCAAUAAGGCAAGGCACCAAAAGCAGAUGAACAUACCGUCGGCAAAAAGAUUGAACAAAAACGGCUGAACAUCAUUAAGCGUCUCAGGUCCUCCAAGAUUCAGAAGCAGCACUCCAACCUUCUCUUCCCCAACAUGGGAAUGAGACUCUACACCAGUCCCACCAUAAGUGCAUACACCCGCCGGACAUAAUACUUCCCCAACAGGGUUUUUCUUAGAAUAAUGUGAUAACCCAAACAUGUCAUUUCCUUUAUCACUCGCUGCAGAGCAUGAAACUGUGAGCUGUUUCGAAAUUUUCAAUCCCCUGGAUGAACGGAAAGAGGCAGAUCCCGACCUACCACUAAAAUUACAUUUAGACGGUUAGUCAAAAUCUCAUCUUAGCUAGCUUAAAUGAAAGUCUGAAACCAAUAAACCAAAACUCAAACAUAAUUCGAUUGCCAUAAUUCAAUGUUCCUGUUGCUGUUUGGCUGUCGUAAAAAUGCAAACUUUCUGUUUGGUUGUCGUAAAAAUGCAAACUUUUCUGUUUGGUUGCUGGGAAAAUGCAAAUUUACACAUAUAGCCAAAUCUCAGCUUAGCCAAACCAAUAAACCAAGACCCAAACAUAAUUCGAUUUCUGUUUGGUUGCAGGGAAAAUGCAAACUUUCAAUACAACGGAAACGGGAUAGCCAUACAAUAUAGAGCUCUCACCCAAGAUAUUACUAGGAUUUUCUCGCGCGAUUAACUCUAAACACGAAUCUAAUUAAAUAAAAGAGCCAUUUACUGAUCCAAAUUGCAAAACAAACCAGAAAAAAAUAAAAUAUAAUAAAAUUUCGAGGGCUUACGCGGAUACUCUACGAUCUGAAUGGGAGAGAUUGAUUUGGGGAAGAACGCGGGAGCAUGUGGCGGAGUCCAUGGUGGUCGACGGCGGAAAAAAAAGAAACCCAAAACUUUUGUCGAAUCGUUGAAGAAGCUUUAACGUCUUCAGCGCUUCCUUUUAACGAAGUCGCCCGACUCCAACCAACUCCACUACCUAACAUACUCUCUCUCCUCUGAGAUUUCUAAUUUCCGUUGAGAAUACGUGUCCGAAGAGUGCAACGUCCACGCGUACAAGUCCAACGAAAAACGGGAAAGAGAUCUGGUCUGGAUCUCUUCUAUCAAAGCUCAGGAUCAAGAUCUGGAUCGUUAAAAUUUGAUCCAACGAUUAUAAUUAUUAUAACUUUAGAGGUAUCCUCUGUUUGUAGCCGUUGGAUCAAAUUUCAACGGCCUGGAUCACUUGAUCCUGGGUCAUCCUCGAAAAAGGCGGUUUCCAUGGAAAUUUUUUUUAAUGUGACUGGAUCAAAGAAUGAUACAUCAUGUGUCACUAUAUUAAUGGUAGAAUAUGUGUACUAAAAGUUAAUAAUUUAAAAAAUACAAUUUCUCACAAUUUAUAAAAAAAAAAAAAACACGUGGUGUAUCACUCAUAUUCUCAUUACAAUGAAAAAAUUUGUAUUAAUUUUUCAUCUCCCCUCCUAGUUUUCAUCUUCUUCCUUCUUCUCUUAUUUGAAAUGUUACGGUUAAGUCACGUCAAUAUUUUAUGUUAAUUUGUUAACAGUCAUAAGAAGAUAAAAAAUAAUAUAUGAGAGAAGGAGAGGAAUGAGAUGAGAAUAGGAGUUAAAAGAAUCUGACUGCCAUUGUUUACCCAUUUUUUUUCUAGGAAGAGUCGACAGUCACGUGAUAACACGUGCCGUAAGGGUUGGGCUUGAGGAUGGAUCGAGGGCUAGACAAUGAUAAAAUUAAAUGGGCUCACCCAAUUGGAUGAAAAACCUCGCGGGCUUUUGAAGUGGGCUUCGACUUUGUAAUACUCCGUACAGUUAGGGUUAGGUGGCCUCAGCAGCUAUAAAUUAGUAGUUUGCCCGCUCUACCAUCCCCCCUUCUACUUCGAUCUCUGCCUGCUCGCAUGAAUUCCAUCUGAAAGUCUAACCUCCCUGCAAUUAGCUCUUUCUGGGUAAUUAAAUUUCAUUUUUUAUUUGAUUUAAUAUUUAUAUGGUUGUAGAUUCUGGGUUUUGUUAGUGGGUUAUGAUGUGAUCGGGGCUCCAUAUUCGAGUCAACAGCAGGCGCCCGAUUGGUGGCGACCCGACUGCCGCUUGGAGCCAAUAGUAAAUGUUCGUAGUGGGUGAAGAUCCAUGAAACCGAAAUCCCAAUUUGUUUCAUGACACAAUAUCCACCGUACAUUUUUCUACAUCUUUGUUUUUCAAAAUAAUUUUGGUUGGAUUUAUGAAAAAUAUUAAAAUUUGUGAAUGAAUAAAUGAGGGCACUCCAGUCAGACACGGGUGUUUGUUGCUAAAUCCAAUAACAAGCGACCUUUUGCAUGGUGCCUAGAAAUAGCUACUGUCACGAUUGGAGGAAAGAUGUUCUUUUUCCACGCUUUCCUUCAAAUUUAAAGCAGCUAAAUCUUCUAAUUUUAUGAAUAAUAUGUUGGGUUUUGUGUUUUAAAUCUAAAUCUUGAUUCUUUUUGAGUAAAAACAUUGUGAAGAUUCGGAAGAUUUUAGCUUUUGGUGUUGCAUUUGAUGCAAUGUGGCUGAAGGAUAGACCUGUAAUUUGAUUAAUUGCUAUAUUUUAGUGGGUAAUUGUCGUUUGACCAUCUUAAACUAUUAUUCCAUUUGAAAUUAAACUAUUUUUUUGGGCAAAUUAAUAUACUGAAUUAUUUGAAUUUGGUCAAUUAAUUCUUUACCGUCAGAUUUAUUGAAAUUUCAUUCAUUUUACCGUCAAAUAUUUACCCCUAAAACUGAAUCACGUGCUGGAUAUUUGAAAGCAAAGUGUUAUAUGGACUGGUGGAUUAAUUUAUCGGUCAUCGAAGGAUUAAUUUACUAAAAAAAUUAAGGGAUGUGUUAUAUACGCAUUUUUUUUUUACUCUCACAUAUCCUAUGUUGAUUUCUGUCAUUGAUAUUCUUUAAUUCAUUUGAUUCGACGAUAAAAAAUUAGAAGGGUGUAUCGAUAUCACAUCUCAAAAUUAAUUUAAGAAUUCUAUUUCAACUAGGAUAAUAAUCAGGUUGUCAAACUACAGGUUACUGAUUUUAACGAUGGUAUUAGUCGAUAAAAAUGUGCUGUCAUGGUGAAUUAACCAAAAAAAUAUGUUGAUAAGAUUAGAAAACCUGUAAGUGAAUAAUAAGAUUGAAUGAGGAUAUAGUGAAAGUGUUGGGAAGCUCCGUCCAUACGAGUCAACAGCAAGAACCGGUUUGAUGGUGCAUUGACCGCCGCUUGGAGCCGAUAUGAAAUUGGCAGUAGAAGAUAGCUUGAAAUGCUCUCUGCUUUCAUGCUACAAUUUUUGGCUACAUUCUAAACUACUCUAGUAUACGAGAUCGAUAAUUCACACUAGUAUAUAAGAUGGGGGAUUCGGACUCUGGUGCAAUGGGGCGGGAACACUGAUAAUGUUUAAAUUCGGAGAUUUAAGUGACUGGAUUUGAUACCUUGUUCAUUCAUCUGUGGAACUGCUAUUUUUGUGUCGCUGCAGGUUGCAGAUUUUGAGUGGUGAAAAUUUGAAGGAUUUGCUGCAUAUUUGUUUUUUGUGCUACAACUUUCUUGUAUUUUAAAACAAUGAAUGAAAUCAAAAUUGAGUGUCAACUUUGCACAUUUUGAGCAAGUAUCUAUGGUCAUAUGUUCAGUUUGAAGUUUGAAAUUUGGAUAAAUUGUAGCAAUGGUCCCUCAACUAAAAAUCUAUUUCCAUUGGUCCCUCAACUUAUCAAAACGUGUAGCUAUGGUUUUCGUCAAUUUCGUCAGAGUUUUGUUAAAAUGAGUUAUGUUUAAUGACCAUUGCUACAAUUAGGUUAAAGUUGAGGGACCAUUGGUAAUGAAAUUUUAGUUGAGAGACUAGCUUCACAUUUUGAUGAGUUGAUAGACCGAUGGUAAUGAAUUUUUAGUUGAGAGAUAAUCGUUCCAAUUAAAUUAAAGUUGAAGGCCAUUACUACAUCAUUUGAACACAGAUUUCUAUUAUGUACCAGUAAGUAUCACCAAUGCCAGUGACCAUGGAAUCUCCAAUGCAGAAUGGUUGCGGGAUAUGAGUGGCCGGUCGGACCAGCUGUAUGGUGCCGAUCGACACGGCACUCGUAUCCUGCUACACCGUUAUUCUAGAAACUCUCUGUGACUGAACCUACAUUCAAGCAAAAAAAACAUCAGAGACUCGAGUCUGCUGCAGACAAAAGGGAAGUGCAGCUGCAGCAAAACAUCCUCUUUCAUUUCAUUGGCAUUAAAACUGAGAAACUCGUUGUAGAAGGAUACAAAUUUAUAAGAUGAGGCUAACAGAACACGAUCAUGAUUCAUUUAAUCAGGUUCUGGUGUACAUUACAACAAAUGCCGAAAACCACACUCGCCAUACUCAAAUUGAAAAAGAAAAUCUUUAAGACUAGAAAGUCUCUAGGAUUUUGCAGGCAUCUCAAAAGCAACAAGAACAAUCAAACGGACAGAGCGGGGUGUUUCCGGCAUCUGCAUUGUUAAUUCCCAACUCAUCUUCUGUAUAAACAGCAAGACCAUCCUGUGUUCUCUUUUUCGUCUGAGAAGACAGGUCCCCAAAUCCGCCAUCUCUAAUCCCUUUAUCCAUCUUCUUUGUCUUGAGCUUGUGGGGUUUUUCAGUCGCGUUUUCUUUUGGUUUUGUAGCCUUUCCAGUCCCGAUUUUCUUCUUUUUCGCUGCAAAUAUAUCAUCAAUCUCAGAAGCGGGCUUCUUCGCGGAAGACGGAGACUUCUCGCCCUUCUCAGUUUCGGGUUUCUUCCUCUUUUUUGCAGAUGUUUCAUCAACCUCAGAAGUAGGCUUUUUCACCGAAGAUGGCGGCUUUUCCUCUUCUACAACUGUAUCAUCUUUCACCUCUCUGGGAGCUUUUGAUUUACUCUUUUUUCCCAUCUUUUCAGAUCCCAAAUCCCAAUCCUGCAUCACAUCCAUAUCAUAUUACUGCGAAUUGAAACAAAAAACAGAGAUCUAAAAAGAAAAUAUGAAAUGUACAGUUUCAAAAAUCAGAUGACUCAACAAUUGGAAAACCCAGAAAGCAAUCAAAACAGAAAAGCGAAUGAAGUUGAAACUUCCUUUCUGGGAAAUCCGUUACUCUAACUUUCCCAGCAACCAAACAGAAAAUACCGAGCGUGUAGAGUUUCGAUUUUCAAAGCAUCAAUUUUUGAGAAUUCGACAACUCGUUCAAAGCAAUCGAGGAUUUUGGGAACGAAUGCAAUCGAAGUGACGGAAGCAGAUAUAUAAUAGUAAAGGUACUGAGAAAAAAAUUGGAGCUGAGAAGAAAUAACCUUUAGGUUGCGAAGAAACGGUGAGGGAGAGUGAGUCGCAAAAAACCGUAGCUCGAUGCGUUUGGAGGGAAGCCCUGAGACUAAACCCUAGGACUAGAAACGGGCUUUGUCAGAGAGAGCGGGACCAAAGUAUAAAACUAGGACUAUGUAAAUUGCACUAAUAGCCGGUCUAGUUUGCUCGAAUUUUCAUUUUCGUCCUUGUAGUUGUUUAGUUGCAUUUUUGUCCUUGUACAAUUAAACGAAGAAAUUCCAGCUUGUUUUUCAAUUGGUUUGUCUUCGGUAGUUUGGCUUAUAGAGUAGUCUGAAAUUUUAAAUAUUUUUUAUUGGUCGAUUAAUUACUAUUAAGUCGUCUCAGACUAUUGAAGAAAAAUUAUUUCACAUAAGGUGUGCACAAAAUAGAUGGAAAACUAAUUUAACGGAAUGAACUAAAGUGAAAACAAAGCAAAACUACAAAGACGAAAGGUAACAAAAAAACUGCGGAGAGGGUAGGGAAAUUUCGAGUAACUACUAUUAGUGCAAUUUUGGGUUUUUAUUGAAUUGUUUGUUAUUAAAUUUAAGCUGUAACUCCCAAGAUUGUGUUUUAAAACUAAAUAUGGGUUAAUUUGUCAAUGAUAAUUAUCUUUACUGGUAAGUUGUAACUGAAAUUUCAUCAGUUCAAUUUCGCGAUGACAAGUUUGAAAUCAAAUUAUUAUGACAAAGCAUUAUGUGGCUUAGCUCGAAAGAUUUAAGAAAAUUAAAAGGAAAGAAUCACAACUAAAAAAAUGUGCACACUUAAACUCCAAAGUGACUUAAAACCGAAUCAUAUGAAUAUGAUAGCAUAAGCCUUAACCUCCAUCUGGUUUCUUUCGACUAACAUUUCCCAACCAUAAAGAUGCCACAAAUAAAAGAAUUGUGACAACAAUUCAGUACUUCCUUGCUUUUAAGGUAUCAACAUACAAACUACAGAGAGCAUUUAAUCCAUAAGAAACACCGCAGAUUGCAGUUAGCGUUUGACUUGUUCAUUCAACAUGUGAGAGACCCCCACCUUCAGCCUUUGUCCUACAGACGAGAACAAUUGACAAAAAACGAAACAUAUACAUGCAUCAGUUCACUUGACAGGACAUGAAACUCUAGGGAUGGAGUUGUACUCAUAAAGUGGCGUGCCAAAGAAAACGCAGCCUGCUAUGUCUAAAUAAAGGAGUCAUCAACAUUUUACGAUUCCACAAGGAUAACGAAGACUUACUUGUGAUCGGAUGGAUUUGGCCUGAGUUCGUAAACAAUUGUUGCGACAACAUCCCUCUUCAACUGUUCAUCGUAGACAAGAAAAAUGUAUUAUUUGCCGAAGUUGCACAACAAAAUCUGCUCGAAUGGAAUGAAAUUACCUUUGUAGCUUCGCCUUUAAAGCCAAUGUACUCUAUCUUAGUUGUAUCACCACCAAAACUAUCGGGAAAAUGCAAUGUGAUGCUGGCCACGUUUUGAAAUUUGGAAUAUCUGAUUAUGUGGACAAAAGUAGUAUCAGAAGGAUAGUUGAUGGUUUAAAUGGAUUACCUUCGGUGUUGUCAGUUUGAAAAGGAAUAAUAUUCCCCUCAAUUUUUACAGGUAUCAUGUUCUCAAACAUUACAAAACAUGAUCUUUGUAGCACAGGAGGCUAUCAAUAAAUACCUUGUCUGGUACUCCAAUGUUCCUUGGAAAUUUUCGACCAGAUCCCACUCCUUAAAACAACAAGAACACAUGUUUCAAAGCUGAAAAGUUGAACUUAUCAAUUAGCUUUCCAACAAGCUAAUACGAAUGCAAUACCUGAAUAGCUUGCAUUCCUUGAGCAUCUGAAAAGUCAAUGCCUUCUUUGUUGAUGAACCUAAUUUAAGCAAUGCAGUUCUAAUUUUAGUUUUUCCAAAUAUAUGAAACGAGAUGAAGUGAAUAUUGGACAUCCAUCAAAGGCUGUUUCAACAGAUAUUUUCUCAGAAAACUCAUACAGGGCUACACUCACGAUCACUACUAUAUAUUGAAAAGAAAGCAAAAAUUCCCUGCAUAUUCCAAGUUAAUUCCAAAUCAUAGGUACUGACUACAUAAACAUGAAAUGGAUGAGACAAGAAAAUAUGAACUUUAUGCAAGGAAAUGGUGGUACAUUAAGACGAAAAAAAAUUACCAAAUGAGUUUAUUUGAGUAAAACGAAUUAUCACUUAAAUCCUCAUCAUUCUAACUACACCAAUAUAAGAAGGCCUUGCCUUAGGUAGAAGAUAUAAAAUGUCAAACUUACGCCCUCAUCUUGGAAGGACUUGUUCCGUCAACACCGCCGACAACAGAUAUGCUCUUGAUCUUUACAUCUGAUGUAAAUCUAUAAAAAAAAAUAAAUGAGGAAAAUAUAACUCAGUUAGAUGUAUGUAACAACAUCAGCGAAUACUAGGUUCUAAUAAAAUCUCUGCAGAAACAAGCAAUGACAAGUUAAAAUAGAAAUACAUCCUCAAGAUCAUGACUUGUAUCUCCUACGGAAUUCACAGAAAUGACAAACCAUUCAAGAAACAUGAAAGGGAGCUAUGAGUGCACGACAAAAGGAUAAUUAUAAAAUGAUGCACAUAUUAAGUUUCAUGUUUUGGAAGAACCUGAAGAUGCUACAGAGGUUAAGUCCCUUACUCAAACUCAUACAGACCAGAUUACAGAGAAUCAGGCACAUGCUACCAUUGAAAUUGAACGGAAAGAUGGAAAAUGGGUAAAACUACUGAAGCACUGGAUCUACCUGUCCCCAUCCAUUUCAUGCUCAUGCAGUCAAUAACUCAUGUUAUAAAAGACAACAUAUAAAACAACAAAAAAUGGGACACUCACGGAAUGUAAACAAGUAACUCAGGAUCACCCUCAUUGCUCUCCAAGUGCCCCUGUAGCAGAAAGUAGGAUCCAAUAAGCCUUCUUACACCUAUAAAUUCAAACAUAAAUUACCACCAAAAUAUAUGGUAAACCUGAACUGAAUCUCAAUCAGUAACUUCCUAAACUUGUGCUAAAAUAUUGUCAUGACAUAUCAAUCUGAGAUUUCAUUUAUAAAAACUUACGAAGUUGGGAUUAGUACAUUAACAAUGACAUCUACAAAUAAUGUUCGUGAAUCACUCUAUUGUUUCGCUCACAGGAAAGUGUUCAAAACACCCUCAGAAAAAAGAAGAUAAAACAGACAAUCAUAUAUAAGGGAUCAUUACCCCACUAGAAUUCAGUCUUUGCUCCCAAGCUUUGAAAACCGACUUGACGCUUCCAGGAACCGCCUCAUUCAAAGCAGUAACCUAUAACAACACAAUUUGAAAUCCUUUCAAGGAGGGACCAUGGUGCAUACUGAUGAUUAUAAUCCAAACUGAAUUCAGCUGAAAGUGGCAUCAUGUCAACCAGCAAACACAAGCUCCAACGAAACACGCCAUUUACAGAACAAUUAAGUGUGAGAGUAUUCCAAAGUAUCAACAAACGCUCAUCAGAAAUCACCAAAUACUCCUCACAAAGCCACCCAUACAGAAAUCGGUAAGCCCAACAAACCCCCAUUUCAUAAUUUUCCACUACAAUCAUGAUCUAUCCACAACAAACGCAAUGCUUACUCAAAACGCUAGUAAGAGAAAGAAUUUCAGCUCAACGGGUUAAUCCGAGUCACUGAUCUUUCAACGAAAGAUUUCCAUCUGGGUACUUUCAGAUGAACCCGAAAAAUCAUAAAAUACUAAGCAGAUUGUAAUCCCACCCAAAUAGAGCAGCAGUGUGAUAGUUCAUACAGGAAAAAAAACGCAGGAAUAGUAAAAUUAAGAGCGAGCAAAGGAGAAAGGCAGAGAAUUUGGACCUUGGGGAGGUCGAUAUGCUCGUAGAGAGUCCAACCAGACGAACAAUCAUGAUCUUCGCAGCUGUGGUCGUGCAAGCAAGCCAUCUCUCUUUCCCUCUAUUACUGAAUUUCUCCCAAGAAAAUUACGAAAGACGAAGGAAGAAGAAACAGAAGCAACCAGAUAACAAGAGCCGAGCCGAGUCGUCGCGUUUUAAAGAGUAAAUUACAUUUUUAACCCCGUAGCGAAUUUCAUCUUUUUUUUGUCCCUUACGAAAGGUGUAAAUUGUAACAAUGAUCCCUUAACUUUAAUCAAAUUAGAACAAUAAUCACUCAACUAAAAAUUCAUUAUCAUUGGUUCCUCAACUCAUCAAAAUGUGUAAAUAUAGUCAUUUUCGUCAACUUCGUUAGAAUUUUAUCAAAAUGAGUUAUGUUUGAAGGAUCAUUGCUGCAAUUGGGAUCCCUUAAUUCAUCAAAACGUGCAGUUAUGAUCAUUUUUGUCACAUUCGUCACAAUAGUAUCAAAAUGAGCCAUGUUGGAAUGAUCAUUGCUACAAUUUGGUUAAAGUUGAGAGACCAUUACUCUAAUUUAGUUAUAGUUGAAGAACCAAUCGUAAUGAAUUUUUAGUUAAGAUGAUAAAUUAAGAGAUUAAUAAUAAUAAAUUUUUAAUUAAGAAACAAUUGCUCAAGUUUUAAAAAACCAUUACUACAAUCUACCCUUACGAAAUUGGCACAAAAGUAAAGGGAACAGAGGGGAACUGCAGGGACUCUAAGUCCAAUUUUAUCGCGAACUCAGUUUCCUGUUUGAUUUGGGAUUCUCGAUUUCCUAUUUGAUUUGGGACUCUCAGUCUCCUAUAUAUAUUGUGAUUGGGGUUGGGGUAUUUUCGAAUUCGAGUUCAAGCUUUUUAGUUUCUAGAGAAUUAUGGCGAAGGACAACAAUGGCUACAAGGACACCGAUGACAAGCUGCUGCGGGCGAAAAGGGUUAAGAACAAAGCCCCAGCCCCGGUCCAAAUCACCGCAGAGCAACUCCUCCGCGAGGCGCGUGAGGGUCAGGAGGGUGAAAUCCGUCCUCCCCAACAGCAAAUAAAUGACGCUACCGAGCUCGCUAAUUUUCACCUCCGAAUGCGCAAGGGAUUCGAGGACCAAGUCCGGCGCCAGAAGCGGAAUGCCCGCGUCUGGAUCAAGUAUGCUCGGUGGGAGGAGUCCCAGAAGGAAUUGGACCGUGCACGCUCUGUUUGGGAGCGGCUGCUUGAUGUAGAUUAUCGAAACCACACCGUCUGGGUCGAGUAUGCCACGAUGGAGAUGAAGAAUAAGAUGAUCAACCAUGCGAGGAAUGUGUGGGAGCGUGCUGUGCAACUCUUGCCGAGGGUGGAUCAGCUCUGGUACAAAUAUAUUCACAUGAAGGAGAUGAUAGGGAAUGCAGCUCGUGCUCGGGAAAUAUUUCGGAGGUGGAUGGAUUGGAUGCCGGACCAGCAAGGCUGGAUCAAAUUCAUCGAGUUUGAGCUUCGGUAUAAUGAAGUAUAUCACGCGAGAGCGAUUUUUGAGCAGUUCGUACAAUGUCAUCCAAAAGCUGACGCUUGGAUUCGGUAUGCCAAGUUUGAGAUGAAGAAUGGUGACGUUGCAAGGGUAAGGGAUGUGUAUCAGACGGCAGUGGAUGUGGUAGACAAUGAGGAGGAGGAGGCCGAACGGUUGUUUCUGGCUUCUGCUGAAUUUGAAGAAGGGUGCAAAGAAAUUGAGCGUGCAAGGAGUAUUUAUAAGUUAGGGCGUGAUCGUAUACCAAAAGGAAAGGCUGAUUCUUUGUAUAGGAUGUUCGAGGAAUUUGAGGAGCGUUAUGGGGACAGACAAGGGAUCGAGGAUGCAAUUGUGAACAAGGCAAGGUUCAAGUACGAGCAGGAGGUUAGGAAGAAUCCUUUGGAUUAUGAUGCCUGGUUCGGUUAUACAAGGCUAGAAGAAAAUGCAGGGAACAAGGAGAAGAUUAGACAAGUUUAUGAUCGAGCGAUUGCCAAUGUACCACCGGCUCAAGAAAAGCGGUAUUGGAAGCGCUACAUUUAUCUAUGGAUCAACUAUGCACUGUAUGAGGAGAUUGAUGCUCGCGAUGAGGACCAUGCACGCGCUGUCUAUAUAAUGUGCCUUGAACUGAUUCCUCAUAAGAAGUUUACAUUUGCAAAAAUGUGGAUUCUCGCUGCCGAGUUUGAGAUCCGACAACUGAAACUCGAGUCUGCACGUAAGAUACUUGGUACUGCAAUUGGCAAGGCAGCUAAAGGCAAGAUAUUUAAGAGGUACAUUGAGAUUGAGUGGCAACUACGUAAUGCUGAUCGCUGUCGGAAACUGUAUGCAGAGUUUGAGGAAAAUUCCUAUGCGUGGAUCAGUUAUGCAGAGUUUGAGGAAAAAAAUUGCGACGCGGAACGAGCCAGAUCAGUUUAUGAACUUGCCAUCAGCCAAAAACAACUCGACAAGCCCGAAUUGCUGUGGAAGUCAUAUAUCGACUUUGAACUAGCAGAGAGAGAGUUUGAGAGAGCUAGAGAUCUGUACGGGCGACUCUUAGAACGGACCCAACACGUUAAAGUCUGGAUCAGUUACGCAGCAUUCGAGGCAUCGGCUAUGGUGGGAGGAGACGGAAUGCGCUCAAAAGAUGUUAUUGAGCAAAAGGAACAAUGCAUUCAGCGCGCCAGAAGGGUUUUCGAGAGAGCGUCGGACUAUUUUCGAACUUCAGCGUCGGAACUUAAGGAACAAAGAAGUAUGCUGCUAGAACAAUGGCGGAACACGGAGGAGGAGUUUGGGGAUUUCGGUGAUGUUACGUUAGUGCAAGCGAAGCUGCCGCGGAGAUUGAAGAGGAAGAGGCCAAUAGUUGUUGAAGAUGGUGGUUCUGCUGGGUUUGAAGAAUACAUUGAUUAUCUUUUUCCAGAAGAAGCUCUUAACACGAACUGGAAGCUUUUCGAAGCUGCCUACCAUUGGAAGAGGCGAAAAGAUUCUUCUGCGGAGGAUGGGGAAGAUAAAGAAACAUAGCAAAUUAUAUGUUUCAUAUCGUGAUUUUAAUUUUUUGUUUUUUAAAUGUCUCUUUUUUUAUUAAAAGCACAUAUAAAAAAUACUCAAGUAUUUUAAGAUUUUUAUUAAAAAUAUUUUCACCAUAAACGUUUUCAAUUAUGAUAAAAGCACAUAAAAAAUUUUAAAGGUAUUUUUAAAUCAAAGAGUUUGUUUAGAAGUAUUUUUAAAUGGCUAAAAGUAUUUUUGGUGAAAAUAUUUUGGAAUCAAUCCUUAAACUUACUUCACCAUUGGACUAAAACUCAAACUUUAGGUUUUAAACUUACCCUAAUUUGCUCCAACCCUUGGGUAAAUAUGAGUUUUAACCUAAAAUUCAUUUGUGGGGGCAAAUUUAGCUUAGUGGGGUUGACUCACCAUAUAUGUGUAACUUUUUUAGUUUUAUAUUCAUAAAUUCAUUGAAUCCAACUCUUAGAAUCUAAUAUGAUCAAAUCCAAUUAUAAAAAAUAAAAUAAAAAGAUAUAAUAGUCUAAAUUUAAAUCUAAUGGCCAAAAUAAUUAAAAAUUUUAUUUUAUGUGUUUUAUAUUCUUUGAUAAUGAUCCACAUGUCGAUUUAAUGAUUUUUCAAUAUUUAUUAUAAUCUAAAUAUUUUUAGGUUAAAAUAUUCAUAUAAUUAAAUUAAGAUAGUUUAUAUAAUUUUUUUUAUUUAGUAAAAUUACUUUAAGAUAAAAAUUAUUCUAAAAUCACUUUAAACUGCUAAAAAUUUAAUUCAGAAGUAUUAAAAAUAAUCUUAGUAAAAAUGUAAGUAAAUUUACAAAAAAAACAUUUAAAAUGCUUCUUUAAAAAAAUCACAUAACUAUACUUGUUGCAAAAAGCACUUCAAGUAUUUUUAAAAUCCAAAAUCCUUACUCUAAAAAUAUUUUCACUUAUUUUAAAAGCAUUUUUGCUUUUGGAUUUAUAUAUUCGUAAUGCAUCUAGCAACGUAUAAAUUUCAAACAACAACAAUAAUACAAGAUUUUUAUAGAAAGCAGACAAUUACACGUCGAUAGAGAGCAAAUGCAAGUUGCAGCCUUUCGAAUAGUAUCUAAAAAUUUACUAAAUCCACCCAAAAAAUCUCUAAGCACACGCACACGGAUUAUCCACCACCACACCCGCCACGUCAUCGUCCCCACUCAGAAACGCCAAAUAACCAAUCGCCAGCCCCACGACGAUGGCCACGAACACUCCGCCGUUAAAAGACAUGAUCGCCAGCAUAAUCAUGUACCCGAUCGCCGCGUUGACUCCGAAAAGCACGCUCUCCGCCAGCCGCCCCGCCGAGAACCUUCCUCCGGCGCCGCCGAGCUUGGCGGCGAGCAGUGGGGCACGGAUCGGCGCGUCGGACGCGGAUUUCAGGGAAGACGAGGAGGCCGCGCGCUUGAUGCGCACGCGCAGGGCCUCGAGGUACUGGUAGAAGGCCGGGACGAGGAGGCAGGCAAGCACCGUGAGGGAGUAGCUGGUCCACGUAUCGGUUUUCCACGAGUCGAAGAGGAGCGUUACCUGCCGGCUCCAGUAGAAGGUCAUGUGCAUCAUCUUCUUCGAUUUCUAGAGAGAGAAAGUAGAAGCGGCGGAUUUUUGGAGAAGAAGACUUGCCAGAGACGGGCAAGAAAUUUAGAAAAAUGGAAAGUUUGAUCCGUUUGGUGUGUACGCUGUUAAUUGUUUGGUACGAGAUGUGCGUUAGGAUGUACCCUUGGAGUUGUUAUUAUUUACGAUUUUGUCUCCGUGGGUUUCUUCUGGACAUCUUGAUUUUGUAUGUAUGAUUAACAGUGUUUAGAGGGGCUGAUUUGGAAUUUAGAAAUAUGGGGCCCCGCUAUGUAUUUGGGCUUGAUGGCUAUUCUCUCCUAACAAAAAAAAAACCCAAAAUGCAGUACAAGGAUCGAAGAUGGUAAAGAUUGUACUGCAGACAGUACAAUCUGAACAACCCAGACGAAGGCCCAAAACUACCCUUUUCUCUCCAAAAGGGAGAGCAACUUGUCUGGAUAUAAUUUAUCACCAUUGUGACGUUUUGAUAUUAUUUAUAUGUUUUUUUACAUGAUAUUGAAUUAUUAGAUCAGGAGGUCACAAGAUUGGAAAUCAGCUUUAUGCAAGUCCUCUUUUAAAUGGCAAGUUUUGCUAUUUUGAUCUCUUCAAGUGCCUUUUUAAUAAGAUCAAAUCUUUUCAAGUUGGAUUGUGGUAUUAUGAAUGUAGUCUCACUUGCUCCAAUCCAAUAUGUCAAUCAAAAGCUUCUACAUCAAAGGAGCCUAGGCCUAUAAGUCUUACAAUUUGAUAUACAGGAAGUACUAACCUAGGGAUAGAGAUUCACUUUGUAUCUAACUAUCCAAAGCUCAAGAAUCGGGCAAUCUGGACUACUUAAAAGUGAAUCUGAUGGUCCAUAUUAACUCAUUUCGCUAGCACACCUCAUACAAAUCAAUGACUCUUAUUUCUCUCUUUCACACAAACUAAAGACACAUAUUUUUUUAUCCUUGGACUCGGGACACUAAGGUCUAGAGAGGGUCCAACGUUAUCUUCUUCUUGCUCUCUUUAGAUGAAGCAAAUGCAAUUAUUCAAGUGAAUAGUAAAUAAAAAUUAGAUAGUACAAAAAUAAAAAAAAAGGUUAUGGGUAUAACCGCCCAUUUAAGCUUCACGGUUACGGUUAUGGGUAACCGUUUAGAUAAAUAAACGGUUAUGGGUAUAACCGUUUUCCCGUGAAAUUUAAAUGGGUGGUUAUGAGUAUUAACUGCGGUUAUAAACAGUUAACCGUUUACCCAUUUAUUUUAUAUAUAUAAAAUUAACACAAACCAUAUUCUUUAUCGGAAAAAACUUAAAUCAAUGUGAUUGACUAUAAUGUGGUUUAUAUAGCGGUGUUUUAAUUAAUUAAGAAGUAAUAAACGAUAAUCUGUGGAGUAUUUUUAUCCUUAAAUUGAAUAAAUCAAAAGAAAUUUAGGUGAGAAAAAUAAACGGGAGCGCACUGAAAUCAUUUCCCUUGCAGUAUGCAUGCAUUAGAUUUAGUUAAGAUGUUAGUCAAAUUACCAGUGGAAUUGCAGGGUAGAGCCUCUGUGUCUCAGUCAAGGCUGCUAAGAGAUACUGCAUUUUAUUAAGGGCAUCUUCAUUAAAACUGUCUACAAGUUCAACAAUGCUUGAAUCAUCUUUUAGAUUUGCUAUUUCUCGAACUUUCGUUGCAACUUUUUCUUGUAUAUGAGGGUGCUUGCAGAGCAUAUAAAUAACCCACGUAAGAGUGCCCGCCGUUGUGUCUUUGUCGGCAAUUAUUUCAAUUAUUGGAAAUGUAUAAGGACUUAAAAAAUUAAAAUACAUAAAUGUAUGAUGAAUCCUAUAAUGGUGUUUAAUUGUAAAAAAAAAAAAACGGGUGAAAAAAGUAAUAGUAAAAAAAGAAAGAAAAAAGAUAAACAGAUUAAAAAGGGUAAAUGGGUAAAGGGGUAUUAAACGGUUACGGUUAAAUGGAUAUACAGUUAUGUGUAUGGUUAACCGUUUAUAAAUGGUUAUGGGUAUGGGUAUAACUGUUUAGGCAAUUACCCAACGGGUAAACGGUUAUGGGUAAAUAACCGCGGUUACCCGCCCACCAUAACCGUUGCCCAUCCCUACUUCCAACAUGUCCUAACUUUUGGUAAUCUUUUGCUUCAUAUUAAAUUUUUGAGUGUCAGACGUUGAAUUAGAUGAACCCAACCCCACCACUUACCCACCAGGCAACUCAUGCAAGCGACCACAUGUAAAUCAAACGACGUUAAUAAAGGUGUCGUUUAUGAAGUAAUAAGAAGGCGUGAGAACGCAGUGACGUGGACAGACCGUUGGAAUGUGAGACGGCGCGCAGACGAUCUAAUUCCCGCCUUCGUCUCCCAACGGUGACCUCCUCGCCAAGCCAAACUAGAAAUUUUAUUUGGAUCUAGUUAUCUUAUCUUUGCACCUAAUUAGAAAAUUUUAUCCAUUAAACUUUCAAGUUUAACCUUAAAUAAAUAAAUACGAAAAUAAAAAUCGAUAUUUCUAUCUCUACACCCAAUGACCAAAACCUAGCGCACCACUCCACCCCUCCAUUAUUUUCGACGAAACAAAUUGCUAUCCCAUUGGCAUUCUCCUUCACCUGGAAAGCACUUCGUGCAAUGUCUCCUUCAAAACAUCAAUCAAGAAGCACCCAACAACAGACCAAAUGGUAUCACCAAUUUAUAGUUUAUGGAGAUGAAAAAUAUGAUGUCUAAUAAGAAGUUGAGGGUGCCCAAAGUAACAUAUGACCAUAUGAAUGCUUUUUUUCCAAGCAGAAGCAGCUGCAUCUGCUACUUUUCUCCAUGGAAGCUCCUUCACUGAGGCAGGUAUAGCUUCCCGCAGCUUCUCAUUCACAAAAGUGGUUUUGAUUUGCAGCUUCUGCUUAUUUUCUUUUUUUGGGUUCUCCAAAUUGUGAUGUGGAUGAAACUACUUUUACACGACUUGGAUUUUGACUAUAUUAUUGGACAUGGUCUUGAUAAUUUAUCCCUAAAAUUUCCAAUAACUAAUCCCAAUUGAAAAUUUUGGUGCCCAUGGUCGUUCGUGAUCUUGAUAGAAUUUUUUGUUGUCACUUGCGUGGGUUUCGCCGGAAAUAAUGGAUGAGUGCAGUGGUGUGCUAGGUUUUGAGUUAUUGGGUGCAGAGAUAAAAACACCAAUGUUUAUUUUCUUAUUGCUAUUUACUUAAGGGCAAACUUGGAAGUUUAAUAGAGAAAAUGUUUUAGUUGGGUGUCAGAUUAGGGGUGGGUUGGAAAAACCAAAAAUAAAAAAAAAUUGGACCGAAACCGAACCGAGGCAAAAAAAAACCGAACCGAAUGUGGUGAACCGAACCGAAGUUCUUUAAAACAACGUCGUUUUGCAAUUAUUUCAUUAAUUAAUAAUCCUAUCCGAGAACGACGUCGUUUAUUGUGCAACCCUACGUGUAUUCCUGAUUCCUCUAUCUCAUUUUCUCAGUUCGACUUCGCACAUCCCCCUGACCCUCCUCUCUCUCUCUCUCUCGGUCUUCAAUCACUUUCUCAAAGACUCAAACUCUCUGUCUCUCAUUCCCAGUGGUGACCCGCGACGACACAACCCUUCUCAGUUCUCACUCUCAAUUUCUCACACCUUGCCGUCAACUUCUUCUUGCCAUUCCGAGUCUCGACAGAAAAAGGUUAGUCUCACACUCUCACUUCUUGUAAUUUAGAUUAAUGCAUGCAGAAUCGGAGAAUACCCAUGUUUCAAAAAUUGUAAUAUUUGAUUGAUUAUUCUCUGUCGUGAUUGAAGAUUUUGAUGGUUUUCUGGGAUUUUGAGAACCUGUUUGUGGGUAUUGCUUUGAAUUUUAGAUGUAUAUAUACACAAUAAAACUAUUGGUGGUUACUAUUAUCUGAUUUCCUGCUCUGCACUCUUGUUUCAAGUUCAUCCAAAUCAUUCCUCGAAAUUUUAUACUCAUGGGAGAGGUUUACAUUUUACACUAUGUAUUUUGGAAUCCUAUGGGAAUCUGUAACUGGUCUUUUAUUAUGCAAUUAGCUGGACCAAUAUGCAGAACCAUAGUUACUGUAAAAACAUAUUCCUUCGACCACAGUAUUACCCACCAACAACAAAAUUAACAAGCUUAUCUUGCUUAAUUGUUAAAGAAAUAAUUGUAAUAAUGUGUCUUUCAACUAUUUUUGAGAAAAUGGAAUACAAUUUUAUCUUAUUUUUAGCAUUAUACAUGUUGAUUUUGAUUUCAUGUUAAAGUUACUUUAGUAUAAGAACUGGUGAAGUAUUCUAGUUAUGGAAUGGUCAAUUAGCAUGAGGUUAACUACAAAUUGCAAAGCAAAUGGUGAGGUAUUAUAUGAGUUGUCUGUCUAGUUGAUAUGUUAAACCAGAGUGCUGUCAUUUCUUCGAGUCAGAUUUUGUGAAGGGGUUUUAGUGUUAAGUGGAUUUUACAUAUCAUUUGAUACAUGUUUGAUUUCAUUUGAUUUAUCAUGGUAUACACCUCAUAGGUCUAUUCUGUCUUAUUCUUGCUGCAUUUUUAUACAAGUUUUAUACCAAUAACCAAAUCUGCACUAGUAUGCGAAUCUGCACCAACAUACAUUUGUAUAAGUUCGUAGUACUAACUACUAUCAUCUUAUCGUCUUGUGUGAAUUAGAUGAAGUCAAAGGUCUCAAUGGCCUUAAGCUCAAGUUCAAACUCAAUGAGAUCAAAAUCAAAUAGGCCUCAGGAUCAAACGAACUCAUCUUCGAGUAGAAAUUUGGUUCUAUUAGAAAUUUGGAAUGCUUAUUUUAUCGAUUAUGUUGAAAUAGGAUUUUGAUUUUAUUUAUACUUCUCUAGAAGAUGUAUUACAAAAUGCCUGCAAGUUGUUUUCUUAGAAUUUUUUUUUUUUUUGGCUAUGGGAAAAAAAAAAAAAAAAACCGAACCGGGUCGAAACUGAAUUGAGAAAAACCGAAUCAAACAGUAAUUUUGGUUCGGUUUCCGAUUUUGGCAAAAAUCGAAUCAAACGGAAACCCACCCCUAAUAUAGAUAAGACAACUGGGUACAAAUAAAAUUUUAUCCGAAACUGAAAAACGCAGAAAAAUAAAAAAAUCCGAUACGAUACAAACCGAUUUAACCCGAAUCUGAAAAUGGAAGUCAAAUUCAAACACGAAAAGAAAUUGUAGCAGCGAUUGGAGGAGCUCCACAAGGACGUUUCCAAGAAGCAGAAGUUCGAGGUCGCCGUCACCGCUCUUAAUUCGCUGCUCCGGGACCACUACUCCUCCGCUUCUCCGUCGCUGCGGAAACUGUACUACGGCGUCGUUUGCCGGGUUGCCACCGUGUUGAAGACCCGGUACACCUCCCCUGGUUUCUGGGCCGCCGGACUCGCUCUCUUUCAGCUCGCCCAUUCCCCUCGUUUCAGACCCUUCCGAGAAGGCCCACUUGCUCGCUUGCAUCGAUGAGGCACGACAGGUCGUUCAUCAGGAAAACGACCCCGCGCAGCCGUCGUCUUCUCCGAAUCAAGGUAUGAAAUAUCUCCCUUCUCAGAAAUUAUAGGAACCCCUUGUUCUUUUUUAUUGAUUUUGAAUUUUUUUUGUAAUUAUUUGUGAAAUUUGUCUGAAUUUUCGUGGAAGGUUGCAAAAACUUAAAAUUUAUUUUCUUUUAUUGGAAUUGAAUUUUGGGUUUUUUAGGAUAUUUGUUUGAGGGGCAUUUGACGGUGGAUCGGGAGCCGCCGCAGCCGCAGUGGCUGUUGCAGUCGAAUCUAUUGACGGCGGCCAUGGCGGUGGGGUCGUCUUCUGAGUCAGGUCCCGGAAUCGAAGAGAACUCGGAAGGCGCAGUGAAUCUGCUUCAGUCGCUCAUUGACAACCUCGACAGCGUUUUGCCGCCGGGGAUUUUGGAUGACGUGAGGGCGGCUCCGAGGGGCCCGCCUGCGAGCAAACAGGUGGUGGCCAAUCUUCCGGUGAUCAUGAUCACGGAGGAAGUGUUGAAGGAGCUCGGAGAGGACGCAGAUUGCUGCAUUUGUAAGGAAAACUUGGUUGUCAAUGACAAAAUGCAGGAGUUGCCCUGCAAGCACACUUUUCAUCCUCCUUGCCUAAAGCCAUGGCUGGUAAUUCGAAUUUUUCAACAUUUGCUAUAUUGCUAAUGUAUCUCAUUGGUUGCGUUCAAUUCGAAUUUUAAGUGCUGACUGACUGGGGAUUUUUGGGUUGUUUUGAUUGUGGCAGGAUGAGCACAAUUCUUGUCCGAUAUGCCGGCAUGAGCUGCAGACGGAUGAUCAUGUGUACGAGAACUGGAAGGAGAGGGAGAAGGAGGCCGAAGAAGACAGAAAAGGAGCUGCAAAUGCGAUUCGAGGUGGUGAAUACAUGUAUGUUUAGUGUUUAUAUGAUGACAUUUGCUUCAACAAUUUGUCAAAUUUGCAGCUUCAUUCAUAAAAUUUUAUUCAGUCCAUCACAUUAAGCAUGUCUAUGAGUGUGUUUUGAUGUGAGCCUGUUUUGAAGUGCUUUUAAAAUUGCUAAAAGAGCGUUCGGACAACUAAAACUGUUUCAAAUGCAUCUGUUGUUGGGAGCUAUUAGUUGAGUUUCUUUGCUUGGAACUGAGAAGACUUGGAUGUUAUAUUUCAACUGAAAUACUGGCUUUUUCUUUAGACAAGGCCAAGGUGGUAGAGAGCUAACCAUUUAUUCCAGGUUCACGGCUUUUAUUCCAGGCCGCCCAACUAUACCAUACACCGAACUUCGUCUAAAUAGUGGUUAAUUUGUGUACUUGGGAACUUUUUUCUUUUGUUGGAAAGAAGUAUGAUAUUCAUUAGCGUUAUGGAAGAAUACGUACAAGAGAGGAUGGGGUGCACCAUUGAAAGGGACCUCAGUAAAAACAUUGUCGGGUAUUUCAACCCAAUCGAAGGAGAAAAGAACUCCACAUGCCAAAUUACAUAGUAUGACUAUCCUUUACAAGGAGAUGUACAAUCAUGUAAGCUCCUCAAACCAAACUACGUCUAUGAGAAAUGCAGUUAGCUACCCUGUUCACAUGAUUGUAUUUGACCUGUUGAAAAUGGCCAUGAAGGAUCAUUAAGCUCAGGUCCGAGCAAUGAGGAGUUAGCAGAGGAAUGCUUUGAGGAAUCACUUUCCAAUGCCUGCAAGUUCUCAUGGCUUAGGUGAAGAUGAUCAAAAUUUGUGGGGAAGAUUCAGUAGCGGUAUGUUGAUGGUCGACAUCACACUUUUAAGUUCUACAGAAUCCCUGAAACGAUAGGUAAAUUACCUAUUGAGUAACAUCUCUAUGAUAUUGUCCUAGAAUUAAAUUUUCCUAAGAAACAACCAAAUAAUGUAUAUUAAAGCCAAACAACAAACCUCAUGAGAAACCUAAAGGUGACCUCAACUGACGCUCUUUAAUUUGGCUCACCUUUGCUCAAGUGUUACUAUUUUCUGCGAAAACUUGAGCAACUAAGAUAAGAAAAUUAUGCGCCGUGGAAAUUUGAUAUCAAAUUUAGUACGUACAUAUCAGUAAGAUGAAUGCAUUAUAUGUUUCCUAGAUGGUUUAUUGAUAUCACUACUUUCACUCAGUCGUUCCGCAAAGAAAUUAGAAAGUAGCUGAAGUUAAAUAAUCCUUGAAAUAUAUAAAGGAAGACAAUUACCUUUUAAAAGAAGAUUAAUAUGUAUGCCUAGCUCGCAAAUCACCAGUUGAUCCACAUUGCUCGUAUCUUCUGAAGAAGAAAAAUAAGAAAAUUAAACAAAUUAAACAAAUAUGAUGAUAGCAUACAUACAUGUGUAAAUAAGAUAGAUAGAGCUCAAUUACCUUAAGGAUGAUGAGAUUUUGAUGUUUGGGAUGUGAGAAAUCUUGGGCCACUCCUCUCCACUGCUUUGCUCACAUCGCUCUGAAAGCCUCGGACAAGCCUCAAUGAUAAGAUCCUGCAGUGGUGUUUUGCAGAGGAAGUCUGGCAGUGUUUUUAUGUAGUCGCAAUCACUAAUUUGUAGAGAGGAAAGACAUGGCAUGAUUGAAAUUUCAGAAUCCUCCUUGUUCCACCCUUCCACGCCUACUUCCCACUCCUCCAACGCUGCCAUGAAACAAAUUUCGAAUUCUUUCAACUUUGGAAAAAAUGAGGUGGAUGAUGAUGAUUUCAAUGACGUUUCAUCUGAGUCAACUAUUCCCAAAAAUUCACCACCAAUCUUUUCCACCUUCUCCAUACCAUACAUAGUCAGCUUUUCAAGGUGGGGCAAUUUCCCAAGAGGAGGCAAAAACUUGCAUUCACUCCAUUCAGAUAGAUAGAUGAUUCUUAAGUUGUGCAAAGACAUGAUCCAAUUGGGGCAAGUGGUGCCUGAAUGAUAAGAAAUGUCUAAAGAUUCCAGAUUUUCGUGCGGUCGUAGCCCAUUCAGUAUUUCUACAGUGCUUCUUGUCUUCUUGUAUAGAACAUCGUAAGAAUCAAUUUUGAGAUGAAAGAGUUUCUUCAUGUCCGACAAUGGUGCCUUCUCAAGCUCCCUCUCAUCUUUCACAUUCCCCUUCAAUUUUAUGAUGAGACUGCCCUCAAGGUUCAAGACUCUCAGAUCUCCCACUUGUAAUGCUGCUCUGUCCUCAUCCUCACCACAAACCACAACACACUGAACAAGUCUUUUCAAUUUUUUUAAUCUCCGAAUCCCUUUUGGCAAGUAUUCCAGCUUAUCACAGCCCAAAACAUCAAGGUACUUUAAGCUAAUCAACUUUCCCAUGUUAUCAGGUAGUUUUUCAAGUGACCAGCAACAAACGAGGCGCAUAGUAUACAAAUUGUACAACUCACAGAUACUAUCCGGCAAGAUCUUCAAAUCACAAUUCCAUGACAAAUCAAUAUGCCUCAAAUGUAUCAAUUCACCAAUUUCCUUUGGGACUUCACUUAUGCCUCUCGAAUGCAAAUUUAACGUCCUAAGACAUUUCAAUUGUAGAAUAAAAUUUGAGUCUAUCUCAGCAAUGCAUGAAUCAAAAUAUGAGAGUGAACGUAGGUUUUUGCAAUUGUAAUAUGCAUUAGAAGAUAGGAGUGGCAGAGACUCACCACGUUUCCACCAAAAGGUUAAGGUCAAAUGACGAACCUUUUCACCCAAACCCUCUAUUUCACUAUCAACAUCCCCAGUGACCAAACAUUCGUUCUUGGUGAGAGAUUGCACAAAGUCAUGAACGAUAUCAUGCAUUUUGCAACCUAUAAUUUUACCACUAACAUCAUCUUUCUCCAAAUCUUGAAAAAAAGACCGUGCUACUAAGUUAUCAAAGAUUGCUUGACCAACUUCUCCCUCAUCUUUAUUUCGUUUUGAAUUAAGAUAAUCUUGUGCCAUCCAAAGAUUAAUCAACUCAUCCCUCUUAAAAUUAUAAUCUUUAGGAAAACUAGCACAAUACAAAAGGCAACAUUUUAUUGCUGGGGCCAAAUCAUAAUAACUUAGAAAAAGUGGUUGAAAAACUUCUUGCUCCACCUCUUCUCGGUCCCAUAUCUUACUAUUCAAGACAUCUAGCCAUUCCCUCCGUGUUUUUUUAUUGAACAUGAGACUACCUAAAGCUUUUGCAGCGAGAGGUAAGCCCUUGCAUUUCUUCACAAUAUCCUUACUAAUAUCUUCAAACGCCUUGGACUCAUUUACUUCUGCAUCAGCAAACGCCAUGCGAUUGAAGAUUGAUAAACAAUAUUCUUCUCGCAACUCUCCCAAAUUGAUCAUUUCACUUUCUGCUCUCAUCAUAUCAAUGACCUCAUGCUUUCGUGUGGUCACCAAUAUUUUACUGCCAUGAGCACCAUGCUGAAUUAGUGGUGCCCUUAAUUUUUCCCACUUUUUACAGUCGGGGGUCCACACAUCAUCUAGGACAAGGAGAAACCUUUUGCCCUCGAUGGAUUUUGACACGCAUUGCAAGACAUGAUCCAACUCAUUUGAGUUUGGGGCAUUAUCACCGCAUAUAGCUUUGGCAAUCUUAAUCUCAUCAAAAGGAUCUGAGACACAAACCCACACUCUCUUUUCAAAAUAGGCUUUAACCUUGUCAUCAUUAUAAACAAGUUGGGCUAGAGUUGUUUUUCCCAUUCCUCCCAUCCCUAGAAUAGGGAUGAUAAGGAGCCCCCUCCGAUCUUCUCCACCAUCACUCAUCAACUUUGUUAUCAGAAUGUCUUUUUCCUUUUCUCGACCAAAUACCUCUGACACGACGACAAAAGACGAAGUCUUCUGCCGUUCAGGUAAUUCUUGAAUGCCUCUUUCUAUGGGUUGAAACCCAUACCUUUUUCUUUGCUCAUCAAUCACACUUAACUUAUCGUUCAAAUCUUUUAUCUUACUCGCAAUUUUACUGCGAAAAAUCACCUCUUUGGCUUUGCGAAAACAAAAAGCAGCUAGGGGAAACAGAGAGAGUUACCUUCUUCUUCUUCUCAGGAACAGGAACAUUUUCACCUUCUCGUUCUUGCUUCUCAACCUGUUGUCUCAGCAUGUCAGUGUUCCACUCGUCCAGCACGUCCACCAUCUGGAAGGAUAUGUCUUUGAGCUGAUCCAACCAGAUCCUCACGUUGGCCUCCUUGACUUGCCUUUGCUCCGCAUCUUCGAGAACGGCUUGAAUAGCUCUGAGAUUGCCAGCAAAUUCUUCAACAUCUUUCUUGGCGUCCAAAACAAGUUUCACCUCUCCGUCAACGUACUCGUAAACUGUUGAAGCCAGCCGAUCCAGUAGCAUGUAGAUGAUCCCGUCAGCCAUUUUUUCAGCGUCCGCAAUUUGUUGACACUAAAUGAAGAAGAAGAAGAAAUGCAGAAUGGUUUGUAGCGUUGCCUCUCUUCUAUCCAGCUUAUACGAUUAUUCCAAGUCAAUCAAGUCAAUUAAAGUAAAGUGAGUGGUUGGUGUGCUCUCAUACUCUGUCGAGGCCAACUCCAUCUCACACUACAGAAAAGGAAAAAAUAUCAAGCCUUCGUUACCCUACCAUUUAUACAAGACAAGCGUUCAUUAUUACUUGGUAAUUUGUAUUCAAACACUAGCCCUGUUUUUGGGAAGAGCAUCAAAAGAGGAUCUGAAUCCUCGUAUUAUAACUGUUCAUUGUAUAUCAUGUGAUUAGUUUUCAUUAGUAAUUAUUUUUGUUUAAUUUUAAGUUAAAAAUUAAAAUAAUUUUUAACCGUACGAUAUAUAAUAAACAACUAAGAUGUGAAAAUCUCUAAGAUUUUUACCAUUUAAAUCUGAAUGAGAUCCAAAUCCCUAUUUUUGAAGUUUAUGUCGGCACGCUUGUAACCAUUUGUUGUUUAAUCAUAUGCAUCGUUUCCGAUAUAAAAAAACACUAGCUCUGUUUUUACUUUUUUUUUUUUUGUGUGUAAAUUUUCAGCUGGAGCAUUACCAAGCUUGCUUGGUAUUGUAAGUGGUCUUUAAUCGUUGGUUGGGUUGUGCAACUUUUCUCGUGGGUAUUUAGUAGUAAGAAAAUCUUUUAAAUAAAUUUUUUUUUAUAACGUCAUAUAAACUUAUACAUUAUUUUAAAAUUAAAAUUUAAAGCGAUGUCAAUCAUUUCAAGUGAAGUAAAUUAAACGGUAGUGCGCUGUCAUAUUUUGUGGAGGCCAACUCCAACUCACAUUACAGAAAUGAAGUAAUUUUGUGUAAAAAGGAUAAAAUAUCAUGCCUUCAUUGAUCCUACCUUUUAUAAGAGACAAGCAUUCAAUUAUUAUUUGGUAAUUUGUAAAAUAUAGUAGUUCUGUUUUUACUUUUUACCUUAAUCAUGGUAAAUCCAUUGUUAUGUAAAUUUUCAUCUGGGGCUUUUACCAAACUUGGAAGAUGUUAUAUGACUUGCAUUUGAACUGAUACACUUGAUGCGUGAGGGAUUGAAUAACUGGGAUAUACUCGGGGACAACCAAGAAUCUCCCUAUGUUCAUGGUCAAAGUAGAAAAUAUGGAACUAUACAUUAGACUAUGAGAAAUUGUUUCCACGCAAUCUUUUUCAACACGCUUUAAAAUCUUAUUCUGAUUGUUAGAUCUAUUUUGGUCAAAUUGUGAUCAUGAAAACUACCUUGCUUAAAUAACAACUAUCGCGCAUUAUUCACUCCACUUACUACUUAUCGUUCUUCUUGAUACAAAGAAAAUAUGCAAUUGAUAUACUUAAAGACCAUGGUUUCUUGGUUGCAAGGCCUGUGGAGUUUCCGAUGGAAGAAAUUAAACUUUUUUUUAUAAAAAGGAGCUACUCAAGGAUCCCGCCAAGUACUGACGUUUGGUUGGACAACUAAUCUAUUUUACCAUCACUUGUCUGGACAUCACAUAUUUCAUACAUGUAUUUAGUCGGUUUAUGCAUGAAACGCAGCAGCCCCAAAUGGAUGCCGCUCUUCGAGUUGGUUGAUAUCUUAAAUCUACUCCUGCCAAGGUUUGUUCUUUCCAUCAAACAACAAAUUAAAUCUAGUUCCUUAUCGUGAUUCUGAUUGGGUUGGUUGUCCAAUGACUCGUCGUUCAACUACUAGGUAUUGUGUGUUCGUGGGCAAUUCAUUAAUUUCUUGGUGAAUGAAAAGAUAGAUAACAGUUUUUUUUGUCUUCAACGAAGCCGAGUAUAGAGCUAUGGUUGUCCAAUAACAGUUUUUUCAGCCUCAGCAAUCUGUUGACAAUGGAAAAAGAAAUGAUAAACAAGAAAUGCAGGAUGGUUCGUUGCGUUGCCUCUCUUGUAUCCAGCUUAUAUUGUUAUUCCAAGUCAAUCAAGUCAAUUAAAGUAAAGUGAGUUGUUGGUGUGCUGUCAUAUUCUGUGGAGGCCAACUCCAACGCACUCCGCACAAAUAAAUGUUGAAGUUGGUAUAGAAUCCGAGAAGGGUUCCUAGCUGAGAUAGGAGUUCUAAUUGUAAUAGGUAUGGGAAACUUGGACGCAAGUUUCAGAUAGGUUUAGGAUUCCAACUCAGUUUAGGAUUAGGUUUGUAACUAGCAUAAAAGAACCUUAACGUUAGGGUGUGUGUAGAUGAGAGUAUAGUGUGAGAGAUUUAUGUGGCAAGGAAACUGAUAGGGAUUUUUACUACUCAUGUGAAUGCGAUAAAAACCUUCUAUUUUACUUGCAAGAAUCACAAGGUUAUUGUAGUAUAAACGGAUCUCGCAAGGUCAUUCUCCACAGGGAUUAUUAAAUAAUUCGAAACAAAUCAGAUUUUAAUUAAUGAUUGUAAAGUAGAAAUUUGGAUGAUUGAUUUUAUAACCUACUUAAAGUAAAAACGAAUUUAAUGAAUUAAAAUAGAUAAUCUGCAAUAUUAAAGCUAGAGAGAAGAAAACAGUUAUGAGAAAAUCAAAUUAAGAAGGCACUAGGGUUCCACCAUCACCUAGCAAUCCUAUGAAUUUUUACCCGUUACUUAUGAUCUACACAUGCCACUUUGAAGGUUAGAUUUUCCUAAUUCAUAUUCUACUUGGAACCUCCAAUAUAGAACGUAUAUCUAACAUGCAACCCGUCCGGACGUUCGGAUCAAAUCUAAACAUGAAAGACUCAUUAUGCUUUAUGAAAAUCCUUUGAAAAACCAUGCAAUCCUUAAGACGUGAUAUUCAUCCUAAAAGAAAUUACAAUUAUUAAUCACAAGAAGCCAGCGUCAAUUUCAGGGAACCUUCCGACCAAAAUUGCAUCAAAUUACUUUUCUAAAAAUCCUAAUGGUGAUCAGGCAUUAAAACAAUUAGAUAGUUUUUUAUCCCGGUGAUUAACAAUUCAAAGUACGCAUGCAAUCAAUCAUAAGCAAUUAAAUAAAAAUCACAUAUUCAUGCUAAGGCUCAAGGCUUCACCCUAGCAAAAGAAAUUAGUUCCGCAUAUUCAUAAUUGAAAUCAUAGAAAUAUCUCUUAAGAAAAGGAUUGAAAACACCUUCAAGUAGAAAAUCUUCAAAACCCUAGCACUUCUCUCUGUCUCCAAUAUUGCAUAAAAUAAAGCGUAAAAAUAAAACUGUAGACGGCUAAGCAAUAUAUUUGCUAAGCCACCACACAAACCCUAGCCAACUAAAAAUUAAUAAAAACCCUAAAUAAAAAAAAUAGUAAAAUUCGUCUAAAAUCUGAACAGCCACGUUUUGGCCCAUAAGCUGCUCCAAAACUGGCCCAAUAUAGCUGGAUUUGAUGUUUGGAAUAUUCUGAACAUUUUUCCAGAAGGCCACGAACCCAUCCGAGGUCAUCUUGGGCUCCAAAAACGUCAUUUAAGCCCAAAAACGUUAUUUUCCAGCACUGCGCACUGCUUCUUUAUUUCAUCGCCAGAAAAUAACCGCUUGGUGGAAAAAUCCCAAAUUUUGAUACGAUCAAGCUAAGUGACUCACGAACGUCCUCCAACUAGAAUUACUCCAAAAUUCGUCCAUUUGGUCCUGUUUUGCUCCAGAGGAAGUCGAAAGUCCUAUAUUGAAAAUACAAUUCAAAGUAUCAAAAUUCUUCCAAUAUAUUAACCAAAAUAUACUAAGAUUAGGGUAAAAUAUAUAAUAUAAAAUCUACUCAUCAAAUACCCCCAAACUUAGCUUUUUGCUUGUCCUCAAGCAAAACAAGACUCAAACAAAAAAUAAAAACUUAACAAACUAGACAACUAGCUAAAAUUAACUGACAAAAAUUUUCAUCUUCAAAGUUGCAAUCCAUAGCAAAUUUUAAAAACUAGAACAUUUUUUCAAAAGUUCCAACCAAUCCCACCACAGAGUCUAAGCCAUUUAGAAUCAAUUAGAAAAGAAUUCACAAACUUCCUUUGGUGUAAAGUGAACCAACAUAAUUAAGGGGACUCGACUAAAACCCUUACCUCUCAUCCUUAUUUAUUUCACACAUAGUAACUUUAAAUAUAACUCUCUUUCUUUUUCUUUUUUUUUUCUUUUUCAAUUUUUUUUUUCUCUUUUUUUUUUCAUGUAUAUAACAUUUUUUUUUUCAGUAACAGUAGUGGUCGUGCAAUGUCGGUUCACUUAAGCUUUCAAUCCAACCCAUGUAGCGAGCUUUAGGUCAAUGACUCCCAAACCACUAGGGCUUUAGGGCACUAGGUGUAGAACACCCCUAAGGACUUAUUAACCCGAGCUGAAAAGGCUACGAAACCAACUAACCACCCUGUCCCAUGCCAAAACUCUACCGUUUGACGCGAGAAUCACUGCUGAUUAGGCAGGACUGGCCCGGUUACUAGGCAAAACCUCGGGUGAGACAAUUAUUACUUUAUUCACAAUAAUAACUGACUUUACUUAAAACAAAAAUUAAAAAUAAACUUAGACUAAAAGCAAGUGUUUCAAUCUCACUCCCCACAAACCAUGUUGGUGUGAUGUGCAAAGUUCAAAGUAUAAUUCAUGAAUUAGUGUCUAAGCAACGAUAAAUAGAAAAGACUCUAAUGUGGGAUUAAUCUUUACCAUGUCCAUUUGUUCUAACGUUUAAAAUAAUCUAUGGAUAUUAACUUAGCACGAAUGAAAAUUUUUAAACGGACACAAUAAUAAAAAAAACUAAACUAAAAUUUACUUUCCCACCCCCAAACUUAUUGCACACUUUGUCCUCAAGGUGUGGAAAAAAUAUAUAGAAACUAAAAAAAAAACAAAACAAAAAAUAAUAAAAAAAAAAAACAAAAAACAAAACUGGAAAAGAUAAAACAAAAACGACUAAAUAAACUAAAAGACAAAGGAAAACAGAAAAGAAACAAAGAAAUUAAAAUAAACAAAUAAAAGAACAAAUAGAAAUGAAGCACCUGGAUUCGAACUCAGGACCUGGGACUGUGUGAAGACGCGCUGACCAACACGGACAGCGUCAAACUUGUGUCAACUUGCGCAACAGCUGCUAUAGAACAGAUGUAGCAGCUGCAUUUGUCAUUUGAAAACACACAUUGGAUUCCCUGCUUUGAAUGGCAUGCAGCUGGCAUCAGUCUUCUGUCAGUCAUCAAACACAGAGCCCAACGGCUCUCUCCCCUCUUAAAUUCACACCGUGUCCCGUGUGUCAUGCAUCAGGAAAUAGAGGUUCAUAGGAUUCCAAAUCAAGGGUUAGGAUCAACCCCAUGUGCCCAUCUUUUUCUUUCUAGAAAAUCUGAAAAUACUUCUACUCUCUCCAUUUUUUCAGCAAGUCGAGUCCUUCUUUCUCUCUCGUUGUUAUCUCAUUUCUCUCGGAUCCCAUGUCUCUGCUCUCUCUCCUUCAUGGCUUCUCAGAAGAGCAAGAUCAGUCUCGCUCAGUAAAUAAACCGAAGAGUCUCUCUUUCCAUUUUCCUCAACCCACGCAACCCACUCAUUCACAGCAUCUCCGUCAUCCUUCCAGGUUUUUUUUUUUUUUUUUAUAUGUCAGUCCUCUCUCGGUUCAAAUAUCUCUUCACAGCAGCUCCUCGUAAAAUGAAAAAUAUCGCCCCGUCGCACCCUUAGCCAACCACACCCACGACUCUGCCAUGGAAAUGGUAGCACAUGUGAAGCUCAAAUCUUCCCACAAAGGUAAUCUUCGUCCAUGUCCUUGUUUAAUAGGUGCACAGUUGAUGAUUUUUUUUUUAUACGGAAAAGAACAUUAACUCAUGCUGAUCUGCUUCCUUUGCGAGGAUGUGGAGCCAUCGGCCAAACACGAGGAAAAUGAAAAACAAUAUGCAAGCAGAUCAGAUCCGAGACAGAAAGGGUAAAAUUACUAGCCUUCUCUCACUGCAUGUCUCAUAUAAGCUUCACCCGGCAUGUGUAAAAUCUGUGCAUCUUGUUAGGGUGCAAAGGUCGACGAUCUGGAAGUGGAACACUGACAAUGAAAAGGAACACCAGCUACAAUGUAGAUCCAGUGCCUGCAAAGGUAAAAAUCUUGUACUCCGCACUGCCUAAUCUCAUGAAUGUAGAGGAAUUGAUGAUGAAUUGAUGAUGAAUGUGCUGGGGCAAUAAAUGUUGAUUGCACCCCCUUAGUUGGGAUUAGGCGGAAUCAGUUACGAAUGCAACCUGCAAUAAAAAAAAAAAACUAAUUAGAUAAGUAAAGAAAAAUAACAAUGAUUAAAAAUUGCAAUUUUUUUGUCAAAUUUCUGAUUUUUUUAUUUUUGUGAUUUUUGUAAUUAGGAAUAAAAACAGGAAAAUAAAAUAAACGAAAUAAAAAGAAAAAGUUAGAAAAAUUGGGUUGCCUCCCAAUUAGCGCUUUAGUUAAUGUCUAUAGCUAGACGUAGAGGGAAGAAUUGAAGAUCACGUCACUUGUUCCCUUCGAGUUAACCACUUCUUGAUAGCAUCAUACGACAACAGUAGGUAUGGAAUGAGUUGAUGUUUAUCAGUUGUUGAAUUCUUCAUAAGUGCACUUCUAUGUGAAUGAAUCUUUGUGAUCAAAUAAGGUUGUUUCCAGUGAGGUUUAUGUUUCCGUCGAGCUGCCUUGAACCUUGUAU